ACAGUGUAGUGUGGGUGAGUAAAGUUGGAAUGAGGGAGUGAGCGGGAUGAAAUGGAAAUUUGAAACACAGAAUAAGGGCAAAAAAAAAAAAAAAAAAAAAAAGAGUGAUUCAAAAGAACAAAAUUAAAAAGAAAAAGAAAAAGGGUAAAGAAAUAAAGAAAUAAAGAAAUAAAUAAAUAAAACAGUUAUUAAUAAUAAUAUUAAAUGAAUAAUCGUGUUUUAAUUGCGUUUGCUGUUUUGACCAAAAAAGUGAAAAGGACACUUCGUGGACUCGAAGCUGUCAGCUCUUCAAUUCUUAUUAUAUUAUCACCUUACGCUAACCUCAAUUUUCCACCUCCCUUUUUACCUUCUUACCCUCUUCUUUUCAAAUUCCUUUCCCCACUUUCCACCUAACAAAACCCUACUUUCGUAUUUUCUCUCCUCAGGUUAAUUUUUGUUACGUGAUACAAUGCUCCAAUCCUCUACUUCUCACUUUCUUUAUAUUUUAAAUUCAUCCACUUUUAAUUUGCCACGUAUUAGAUUUUUAUACUAAAGCCUCCUUAUUCGCAAACACUUUCGAGUCUACGUAGUUUCUCCUACACCCCGUCUUUCCUUUUUCUUUUUCUUUCUUAAUGGCUUUGAGAUAAAUUCUUGUUCUUUAAUUUCUUUUUUGUGUUAAUAUGUUUUGUUAGUUUAGUUCCACCAAUUUGGGGAGAAAUUAGUGGCUAAUGACAAUUUAUUCUUUUUCCAAUUUACAAUAUUUUACUGCUUAUGUAUAGCUGUUUAAUUUUUAUAAAAAAUUAAAGUUUUUUUAAAAAACUAUUUUUACACCUUUUUUUAAAAAUUUGAAAUUUGAAAUAUAUGUAAAGUUGAAAUGGUUUAUUUUGUGAAAAUUUUGUCCUAAACUUUUGUGCUUACCUAUCAAUUAUUGUAUGUAAGUAAAUAAUUUUAAUCAAAAUUAAUUUAGUUAUUAAUCAACUCAACUCAUGAGUGCACAUAUUAAAAUAAUUUAAAAUUUAGUUAUAUUUUACUAUAAUUUUUCUAAAAUGUAAUCUUAAAAUUUAAAUUUAAAGUAUUUAUUUUGAAACCAAUAACAUCAAAAUAGCAUAAUCUAUCUUUUAUUAUAAAAUUUAUAGUUUUCUCUUAUUAAUCUAUAAGGUAAGAUCACAAAAACUAUAUAUAAUUUUUGGAUAAAAAUACCAUUGAAUGCAUUAGACGGUCUAUUUAAAAACAACAAUAAAUAGGUAAACACGUGAAUAGGAAAGCAUCUCAUGACCACUCCAUUUCCUCCGGCUAUUACUUAUGAUUUUAACUAAGUUUCAAAAUAUGAUGUAGGAUGGAAAUAGUGACACUUCGGUUGUAUGAAAAUAUAAAUAUGGAACGAAGUUUUUUGGAAAAAUGAUGAAAUUUGUUAUAAUUAAUUAAUAAAACUUUUGCUAUAACUCAAUUUGACUAUAACUUAUCAUUUUUAAUCACAAAUUCUAUAAAGUAAGACAAUAUUUAGACGUCCACGUAAAUUUUAAAAACAAAUAGAACAGUAAACCACAAAGUAAUAUAAAGUUCAAGAAUAUUUUAAGGUAAAAGGAUGUGAAUAAUUUUAAGAAUUGAAUUAUGUCAAAAAAGAAAAUUGUAUGUUGUGUUUGGGAUACUUGAUUUGAAGCAUAGAUUUUAGUUCUUGUUAUAAUGGUUUAUGUGUAAAUUAUUUUAAUUCAAUAAGAUAAUAGUAAACUCAGUUACAAGUAAUAAAAGAAUGAUAAAGAUAAAAGGAGUAAAAACUACAUAGAGCAAAAACCAUAGCAAAUAAAAGGUUUCAAAGUUGUAAUUAUUGUAACUAAUUAAAAAACUUUUAUUUAGUAUUUACUAUACCAAUCCGUCAAUUAUAGUUUAAUUUUUGUGAGUUUUUGCAAAAUAAUUUACUUUAAAAACAAAAGUUUGAGAUGAAAUAUAAAGCUAAAAAUUAAGGAGAAAAAAGUUGUACAUAGCCAACCUGAACUUAGCUCAACUAGCUGAUCGUGUGUAAAAUUAUAGAAUUAUAAUCUAAAAUUAAAAAAUUUGAACACACUCAUUGCAGUUAGUUAAAAAAUCGAUUUUUUUUUUUAAAUAUUGAAAUUUCUCAAAACAAAAAAAAAAACGAAAGUUCUCCUAUUAGAAUUUGAAAUCCAUCAAAAUCUUGAAAAUUCCAUCAUAUUUAUAUGUAUUUUAUCAAAUCUUUCUAUCCUAAUUUGAUAAAUUUAUUGGUUUUUUUUUUAAAGAAAAUUUUGUAUGGUUGAAAAUUAGAGAUAUGUUUGCUCAAAAAUAUAAAAUAUCAUGUCUUUUCCAAUCUAUUUGAUAUUAUUCUAAGUAUCUAAUAUUUUAAUAAAUCUUAAAUAUUCCAUGGAAGUUCAUUUUUAUUAAAAUUGAUUAAAUUAUUACAAUUAUUUAUCUUCAUAUAUUAUACACUUUUUAAGUUUAUAGUAAAAAUACUAUAAGAUCAUGAAAAAAAAUCAACAUAUCAACUCUAGGUAGUAACUAGAAUAAUAGUAUAAACUAAAUUUAAGAUUUAAUUAUUUGUAAAAACUUCAAAAGAAUAUUUUAAAUAAAUCACAAACGUAUCAACUUACAUUUAAUACGAUGAGGCCCGCAUUACCCAAUACAAUUAGUAGAUUGGACCCUUGAGUGGUAGCUAUCAUUUCUUAGGCAACUCCACAUAGUUAAGAUUUCACAUUAAAAUAGAUACAAACAUAACUACACACAUAUUUUCUUUAUAUUUCACCAUAUAAACUAUACAAAAACUAUACAUUUUUGUAUAUCAAUCUAACAACAAAACCAUCCCAAGAAAUAGAAGUUUCCAAUAUACAUGUAAAAAUGAGAAGAAUUGAAGUAUAUAGAAAAAAAAAAAAAGUAACAUCAACUUUAUUUACUAUUCGCUACCGUUUUUACUAUUUGACAUUCAUAACUUUUUAUUAUUUUCUACAACGUUUAUUAUUUUUUUUAUCAAACUAAAAUAGUCUACACGUCAAACAUAUACUAUUAUAACCAAAACUAAAAUAAUUUAUACUUCAAACAUACAUUAUAUCUUUAUAGUUUUUGUUAAUUUAAAAUCAUAAACGGAAUACUUUAUUCACAUUUAAUGAUAUAAAUAUCUUUCAAAUUAAUGUUCAGCAAAUAUGUCCCCUCAACACAUUUUUUGUUUGCAUCAAGACAUGAUGAAAUUGAUUAAAUUUAAAUGGGAAGGAAAUUAAAAGUUAGGACAGAAGAAGAUAAUAUACAACUAAUUAAAGUUUAUAACUAAUCUUGUAAAUUAAAUGAAAAAGGGGGAAAAGAGAAAAGAAAAGAUGAAGUUGAAUUCCUCUUGCUUUUUCAAGCUGCCUCUUGCUAAUUAAUUAACACCUUUAUUUAUGCAUAGCUUAUGACUAUUUUUAGCCCUGUGAUAUAUAAUAUAUUUCGUACACGUACCUAUUUGCACAUUCCUUUUCAAGACAUCUAAAUCUUUAGAUAAUAACUCGGGACUUUCACAAAAAUAACAAAAUAAAAAAGUUAUGAUAAUAGAACUAGUGUUAUUAUAUUUUCUAAAUUGUAAAAUUAGCAAAUUUAAAAGCGGAUAACUCUCUGAUUAGUUAUUCGAUAGUCAUUUGAUAUUAUUAAUUACUUGUAGUAUUUGUCAUAUUCGCACCAUGCAAAAACGAGUAGCACUUGCAAAAAUAGAAAAAAAAAUUAUGACAAUAAGACAUAUGUCAUUAUAUUUUAUAAAUUACAAAAAUAACAAAUUUAAAAUUAAUAAUAAUUAUAUGAUAUCACUAAUUGCUUAUCAUAUUAGUUAUUUUCGCGAUAUAUAAAAAAAAGUGAUAUAAGCGUUUUUCUUAAAAGAAAUAUUGUUAUUCCAUAUCAUUUUUCUAAUAAAAUUUUGUGAUGGAUUAAAUUGAUACAUAUUAAUAUUAAUAUUAACAUAGACUUUAUUAUUUCAAAAUGGAAAAUAUAAUUAUUGUAUUCAAAAGGGUAUCAAAUCCAUAAUAGUAGAUUAGGAAAAGGACAAUAAAUGAAGUGAUUAAGGUGAAAAUAGAAUUAUUUAAUUUUGAAAAUGUAUGACAAGUUGACAAAAUAAGACAAAGGGGAAUUAAAAUUCCAUCUCAUCAAAUCUAAUUUUGAAUUUUGUACUUUAUCUUUCAAUAAAAUUUUAUAAACCAUUAGUUAAGCCUAUAAAAAAAUCAUUUCCAACCUAUUAAUUUAACUCAACCAUGCAUUAACAAUUUAAAAAAAUUUAUGAAUAUAAAUAUACAAUAAUAGAAGUCUAUUAGUGAUAUAUCAUAUUAUAAAUAUAAUCAAUUGCUCAUAAAUUUUAUUAUAUUUGAUGUUUUUUUAAAAAUUGUUGCUAUACACGUAGUUAUUAUCUUUAAAUUCGAUACCCUUGAAAAUUAUAUUUAUUAAGUUUUUUUAGUAAUAUCUAAAUUAAUAUUAUGAAUUAGAAUAUAAUAAAAGUGGAGCAUCUAGGACCUUGCUUAGUAUGAUAUUCUAUGUAUAAACAACAAUGAUAUAUACAUAUAAUACACCCUCAAUUCUCCACCCUUCAAUUUACCUUUUGUUAAAUUUAUAAAAUAUGUAUUUGUAAAUGUGAAGACAACUCAAUUAGAAAUAUGAAUAAUCCAUUAUUAGGUUGACAUUUCAAAUACCACGCUCUUGAUAUGUUUGGACUAAUAUUUUUCUGUUUUUAAAUUUUCAAAAGGGAUGGAUGCGUCUCUAAAAUGUAUUAAAUGUUUACAUUUUAAAAAUUUAAAAUUUAAUAACACGCUAUGGUGUUAUCAAAGUAAUGAUUUUGUUAGUUUACUAAAAUGUAAAGAAAAAUUUGAAGUUCUAACACAUAUUGUAUGUGAGUGUCAAAACUUAAAUUGUAGAUCUUAAUUAGUACGUUUAAUUUUACUUUUCUUGUAGAUAUGUGUAGUAUUCGAUUUCGGUGUGCUACGUAUGUAUGAAUUCAAUAUCAAUAUAUCAAUUAUUAGAAAUUUUUAUGAAAUAAAAGAAAUAAACAACAAAAUGUUAAAGUAAUAUCUUUAACUUGUUUAAAAGUAAUAAAAGGACUUAUUAUUAAUUUAAGUUUAUGCUUAUAUUAAUUUUAGAAAUACCUAAGUUUUAUUGAAAUUUUUAUAAGAUUAACAGGUCGUGGGAAUAUAUUACUACAAAGCUGUUUUUGAGAUGGGAGGAGAUAUUCUAAACUUUACUUCAAUUUUUGAAAAAAAUCACAAAUUAUUUUACUUUCAUCAAACAAAACCAUUAAAAAGUAUAGUAAAUAUUUGGUUGAAUAUUAUAUUAUUUACAAUUUGGGUGAGAUAAUGUAUUUGGAUUUAUAAAAAAAAAAUUAUAAUAAUUAAAAAGAAAAAUAAUAUGAUGUAACGAACCGACGGAGUUUUCUUGAACAUGGAAAAAAUAAAUAAGAGAGAAAAAAAUGUUGAAACAGAUUUUUCCUAAGAGAACGAAGGAGAAUUGUCAUCUCAAAUUCUCAAUUCACAUCCGCACAGCAAAGCUCACGUCUCUCUUUCUUUCUCUCUCUCUCCUCUUUUUUUUUUCUUCCUUUAUCUCUCUUCCCCCACCUCCCCACUCUGGCUCGUAAAAGUCGACCAAAAACCAUAACCACCAAGACUUGGAGAUGAUAAUUGAUGACCAAACGCUGACACUGAGCUUUAGAUAAGAAUGGCAACUCAGCUGCUAUCUCCGACUAUAACUUUUCCUUCUCUUUUCUGUAGCAACAGUAAUGGAGUCGGUUUUUAUAAAUUCCAUUCUUCCCCUUAUUCUCAUCACGUCUCUGUUUCUUCUUCUUCCUCAUUUCCGAUGGCUAAAACCAAUCAAUCCACUUCUAGACUAUGUUAUUUGCAAACCCAUUUACCCAAAUCAGGUAUUUUCCUCAUACCCACUUGAAUUUUGUGGAAUUUUAUCGAUGUUUAUCUGGUUUUGUAUAUUUGGUUGUGGGUUGUCCUCUGUUUUGCGUAUUGGAAUGGUUUUUGAUGAUUAUGAUGGGUACUUGGUUUUUACGUGUUGGGAAGGUUAUGAAAUGUUCUUCAAUUUCAAUCUUCUUUUUGCUGCCAAAUGCUCUGCUACUUUCUGAUUAUGGGUUUACUUCAAUGGGAAUUUUAUGCGUCUGGUUUUGCGGUCUUCUCUGUUUGGUUUCUUGGUGAAUAGUUUGAGGAUUUUCUUGAUGUCUGAGCUAAUGUGGAGGAAAAUUGUUGGGACAUGUUCUUCAGUUAUGGAUUGGUUUCGUGACGCAAGAAUGAAACGUUGGUUAUGUUUAUUUAUUUUUUCAAUAUCAUUUGUUUUUAGGACUGGGUUCUGUUAAUUCUUCUUGUUCGGAUGUUUUUGGUUUAAUCCAUUUUUUCGUUUUACUUUGUUCCCACAUUUCUCUGUGGUAUAUCAUCGUUUUUGGUUCAACAAAUGUGUGGUAGUUGUAUGUGGUUUAUCGCUUGUAUCGUUCUACUUCGAGGUGGCAACAACGAAGUUAAGUAAGCUUGGAAAAAGCCUACAAAGAGCUAGCGGCCGAAUAGUUUGGGCUGCUGUUAAAUGAGAUGUGGGCUUUAUUGUCUCUUAUCAACGUUUGGCCUACUUGGUUAGUUACUAUGUACCUAUGUGUGUGUUUCCCGCUUCUUCUCGGAGUUCAACUGGACUCAACCUCUCACUUUUAGGGACAUAGAUUAUGUCUUGACCUAUUGUGCUAUGCAAAUAGAGUUCUUAGUUCUCAUCACAGUUCCAUAUCAUUAUUUUGGUUUUUUGAAGAUGAGGUAUUUAGCAAAAGAUUUUGCUCCAUCAAUUAUAUUAAAGGGUGUCGAAAAGGUUGGUUUGGGCCUUCAAGGGCUAAUAGUCAAUGGAAUUUCGUCCUUGGGAUGGGUUGAGAAUGUGCUACAUUUUCAGUAAGCCUUGAGGGAAGGACUUGACAUAUAUUCUUCUUAGUUUCUUGGUAAUGUUACUCUCAGCCUACAACUUUGUCCUUUUCACUUGGACUCUUGGUUGUAUGCCGUCGUUUUAGUGUACUUAUGAGUUAUGCGAUCAAAUGGUGUGGAUGGGUCUUCACAAUGGCCAAGGCCAUAGACAUAACCUGCUGCAAACAUGCAGAUUGAAUAUAUCAUUCUGUUUGCCAAUUAAACAAUAGGGGCAGGUUAAUCCAAUAACACUGGUUUUUUGACAUUUCAACCUGGGGAAGAGGUUGUAGCGAAUUCAUCAGUUCCAUCAUUUGCAUGAUCUCUUGACCUUUUCUCUAAAUGAAACAAACUUUUAUACAUUUGUCAAAAAGAUAAAACCAUCUUUCGAGAUUGCAAUUUGCACAUUCUUUAUAGAUUGGUCUACUUUUACAUGAGACAAGGCUUAGCUACUUUCAAGGGACAUUCUUAUAUGAGACUUGUGAUAACUAGAAGAGAUAUAUUUAGUUUGUACUUAGUUGUGAAAUAAGGGAGAGCUUCUGAAAUUCUGUUUUAUGAAUAACCUUCCAAUAUUGUUGUGAAGCUUUAUGUAGUUUCGGAAAGCCAAAAUUCCUAUUGUUUGAUGGUCAAUGCUGUUCUACCAUAUCUUGUAUAGUAUGCAACUGCAUUCUUAAUGUGUAGAUGCAAACUGCUUUAAUCAUUGAUCUCUUCCUUCUGUUUUCUUUGGGAUUUUACUCUAGGCAAUGGAUGCUCGUGGAUUCAAGAUAACUCCUUGUUCCACAAUGUUUCUGCCUCCGAGUGUUAUCGAGGCUCUAUAUGUUAUUCAUUACCCACAAAGCCAGCACAAGUUUCCACUGUGGAGGAUCUUUUUGAAUUCAUUUGCUCAGGUCCCUUGAUAGAAAAGCUGGGUUUGAGCCCCGAAAGUGUGGCUGAUGCCAUAGAUAAAUGGCUAGCUUAUGGCUCUUACCUUUGUCGAUUGUUCAAAGCUAAUGAAAUGGAGCUCACAAUUCCUCAGAAAGCAAGGUUUUAUCACUACUAUAUACCCGUCUUUUUUUGGUGUGAAGAUCAGAUUUCUCAACACCAAUCCUCAUUUAAAGAAGGAGAAGAAAUACCUCCCUUAGUGGUAAGCUUUUAAAAUUCCGAUAUCUACUUUAUUCUUGUUUCAAACCUGCUUAUUUGAUAUGUUCUUCAGCGUCAAGGAAUUGAGAUGUUUUGCAUGAGGCUAGGCUUUCAUGGAAAUUCUUUUAUUGGAGGCCUAUUGAUUAUGCUGACUAUCACUGUCUGAGCUAAAAAUUUGUUAUCCCUCUGACUACUUGUCUUCAAAUCACUUUGUUGUGCUUGUGCAGAUAGGAUUUAGUGCUCCGCAAGGUUGUGGGAAGACGACACUCGUGUAUGCUCUGAAUUAUCUUUUUGAAGUAACAGGCAGGUAGGCUGCGAUGCUAGUAAUUAUACCGUAACGAAGCUGACCAUCUGCUGAAGCAGUGAUAAAGACUAAAUAAUAGGCAAAAUAUAAUUUCUGACUGAAGUUCUAUCUCAGGAAGUCUGCUAUGUUAUCCAUUGAUGACUUCUAUCUGACAGCUGAGGGGCAGGUUGGUUAGCUAUCUAUGGUGUCUACCGUUUGCUUUCCAUUUGCUGUACUAUUAAUAAACUAAGUUUUACAUGAUAGGCACAACUGAGGGAAAGAAACCCCGGAAAUGCACUUCUAGAGGUAUGUCUCCUCUUAAAUUGUAGACAAAGGAAAGCUGGUUGUACUCAUCUGUAUUUCUUCUGUUAAUUAUUUUCUUCCAUUUUUAGUUUCGUGGAAAUGCUGGAAGUCAUGAUCUCGAACUGUCAGUUGAAACGCUCACAGCUGUAUCCAAGUUGACCAAGGAAGGUCAGCUUCUCCCUCACUUUUGCUUUUGUUUCCCCAACUUUGAUUUUUUUUCUUAUUUAGUUCUCUUUUAAGAUAAAGGUUUAAAGAUGAAGCUUCCCAGAUAUGAUAAAGUAAGUGACAAUACCCAUUCUGUUGAUUUGGUUAUAUACAAUUUCAUCCACUUAUGAUUCUCAAUCCCCUUUGUCCUCUUUGUAAUCCAGUCCGCAUACAGUGGAAGAGGUGACAGAGCUGAUCCUUCCACUUGGCCAGAGGUUGAAGGACCACUUACAGUAAGCAAUCUUAAUUUAACAAAAAGGGAACUUAAAAUUUAUUGCACCUAGCUACAGGAACUUUAAUUUGGUUACCUCUAGGUCGUCCUAUUCGAGGGCUGGAUGCUUGGCUUCAAACCACUCCCCACAGAAGCUGUCACAGCAGUCGAUCCACAGGUUAUAGUUUUUCAAUUUCCAGAACUUAUUUGAUUCUCCCUUGUCUAUCUAUCAUUAGCAUCUAUUUCUAUCUCAACCAUGUACCUUUCAUUCUCAACAAAACGAACUUUCAAAUUUUACAGCUCGAGAUAGUGAACAACAAUAUGAAAGUGUAUUACGACGCUUGGGAUAAGUACAUAAAGGCUUGGAUCGUGAUCAAGAUAAACGACCCCAGUUGCGUUUAUUAUUGGCGUCUACAGGUAAGCUAUUAACAUCAAUUACCAUACAAACCACCUGGGGGUUCGAGAAACUGUUAGGAUACCACCUAACAAGAGGACUCAAGAACACCAAGAACAAACAACAAGAACACUAAAAGAUAAAGAUUGUAUGGAAAUAUACUUAAAAAUAUGCUAUAAUAUCAUAAGAACAAUCAACAAGGUAACCUCUAGCCUUUUGAAAGAGCUAGACUCUCCCAAAUUUGUAACUAUGGAAAUCCCACAAAAUACUUCACCCCCUCCUCUCAACCUACUCCUUCUAUUUCUAACUACAACAUGAACCAACUUAUUGGCUAUUUACCCACUAAUCUUACUGUUUCGAUAACCAGAAGUCUUAAAGAAACCUUUUAAAAACUGCCUGGUCCUGAUGUUAUGAAUUUGCAGGCAGAGAUUGCAAUGAGAGAGGCCGGAAAACCCGGAAUGACCGACGAAGAGGUAACAAUACAGUUUGAAAGCUGCAUAUAAUAAAUGAAAAGGUUUGGGUUUUGUAUGGAUGAGAAGUUGUGGUUUUUGUUUGUAGGUUAGAGAUUUUGUUUCACGUUAUCUGCCAGCCUAUAAGGCUUAUCUUCCCGUGUUAUACUCAGAAGGGCCAAGUGGGUCAGAUCCAAAGCGUCUUCUUGUGGUUGAAAUUGAUGAAGAAAGGAAUCCAAUUCUUGGUUAUUAGGUGGAAAUUUAAAAAAAAAAAAAAAAAAAGUUGGUUUUUUAAGCUUUCACAUCUUCUUUUGACCACCUUUUUCUACCCCUCCCUAUAUGUGGAUAUCACUUUCCUACUUUUCUCUAAAGUAGGAGCUCUUACUUGAUUCAUUCAUUUGUAUCAAUAUGUUUCUCUUAUAUAUAAUAAAUCACAGUAUUUUUCUUUUUGCUAUCUCUAUCUUUCCUAAAUAAAAUAUUUGGGCCUCAACUUUACAAGUUUGGGUCAAUAUGAGCUUGUCAGCCCAAUAGAUGACAGUAUGGGCCUAGGCCCAACAUGCUGGAUUUGUUUGAGCCAAUUCAACUGUAAUGCUUCAGCCCGUGACCUCCUGCUGUGGAUUUAGAUCAUUGCCAUAUUUCUAAUUUCGGUUGGAUAAUUGAGUUUAAUCUUUUGUUUUGAUUUGAUAUUCAAAACUUAAGGUGGGUAUAAUUGGUUCAAAAUUUAAAGUUUGAAAUUUGUGUCAAAUAAGUUUUGGAAUUUUCAUUUUGUGAUUAAUGGGUUUUUGACGUUUUGUGAAAAAAACUAUACAAAUCUAUUAAACACAGGCCGUAAGUUUAUAGUCAUAGGAUACAUAAAAUUCAAUUAUUAUAUAUUAUCAAUCGAGUCUAAAUUUAGAAUAUGUCAAAAAUCUUAACGUUGAUUUAUGUUAUAUUUUUUUAAGUAUAUUUCUUCCACUUUCUCAUUUUGAAUUGUCAAUGGGAAAAAUUGCACCAUUAAAUUACUAAAAAAACCCCAUAGAUUUAAAACUUUGUACCACUUGUCUACAUAGAAAUGGAAUAAUUUUUAUAAAAAGAAAAAACAUGGAAAUAAUAAAAAGAGAAACCAUGUACUUGAUAUAACUCGACAACCUAAAACUAGAAAUCAAUAAUUGAGAAUAAAUACCCAAAAGAAAACUAAACAUAUUCAUAAUAAGAAAACAAACUUCAUACAUUACUAUAAUCUAAUUUUAUAUAUGUCCCUCCUAAAAUAGAAUCACACAUGUGUGACAUUGACAAUAUCAACUAAACAAAAUUAACAGAGAAAUAAUCCUCCUACAUUAACAGUAAUUAUGUCUAUUUUCUUUAAACAAAAUAAAGUCAUAGCAAUUAAGCAAUUCAAAUAUUACAAAAUAUAUAUAAAAACUAAUUAACCGAAAUAUGUUUUUUUUUUUUUGUCUUGCAGAAAAGAUAUUUAUAGAUCCUUAAAUUGAAGGCCGAAUCCUUUGGCUUCAGAUCUCUUCAUUAUCCUCAAUCUCUUGCAAGACUCAAUAAACAUCCUGAAAUUAUGUUAAUUAAUUAAGAUUAGAAUUAGAAUUAAAGAAUAAUUAUAGGAUUGAUUUUUAAAAUGGGAGAAAUUAAUUGAGGGACAAAGUUUGUAGAAUGGGUGACACUAUUAUUAGGGUUUGGUACGUGUCGGUAUCAUGUUUGUGAGUUUAUGUGAAAAUACCAUUUUGGCCCAAGCUUUAAUUUAAGUCUUUAAAAAACUUUGGUUGCAUUUUGUAUUAAUCAAAAUUAAAUUGACUUUGAUGGAAGACUUCAAUUUAAAGCACCGCUAACAACGGUAAUAAAUAAAUAAAACCUAUAUAUAAAGUGAUAUAUAAAUUUAGGUUUGAAUCCUUAACAUAAGACCAUAAUAUAUAAUUAUACCAAUAACGAAAAUUAUAAUCUAUAGUUUACGAGUUAUAUGAUCUUUAGCGUCCACUUCAUUUACAUCUAAUUUUAAAAUUUAAAUAUAUUAAAUAAAGAUAAAAACAUUUAGAAAUAACAUUUUACGUUCUAAACUCAAUUUAUUUCAUAAAACUCUCUCUAGUCUUUUUUUCUUUUUUUAUAUCCAUAACAAAUUUUCUCAUUAAUAUUAUUAUUAUUAAACACAAAAUUGAAAACAUCAAAUACAACUCUACGUUUGAUUAAAUAAAAAAAUUGAAAUUGAUAAAAAGAAAGAAAGAAAAUAAAUAAAUAUAUAUAUAGAGAGAGAGAAAUAAUUGAAGAAAAGGGAAAAGAAAAACUUACUCCCAAGGGACGUCUCCAACAAGCAUCCAGUCCCCAUCUUUGUCUUCAUAAAUGGGAACGUAAUCACAACUUUCUCCAUGCUUUAAUGUCUUCCCUGUCCAUCCAUUUUCCCACUUCUUUCUCAUUAUUUUCUUCUUAUAUUACACUAUACUUUUAAUUCAUUUUACAUUCAUGCAACCAUUCAUUUCAAAUUAAUAUCUCUACUAUUUUAUUUGAACUCGAACACUAUUUUUAUACUUUUAAUUUGUUACUCGAUAUAUUUGGUUGUGUGUGUGUUUUUUUUUCUUCUUCAAAUAAGGUGUAUAUGUUAAUUAAUUACUAGUAUAUAUGAAAGGGCUAAUUAAAUAGAUGUAUAAAUGAAAAUUUAAAUUACCAGUUCCAAAGCAAGCAAAGAGCUUUUCAAGAGCAAGAGCAAGAUCCGAGUAGCCCUUAUGAGAACCCAAGUCAAGUUUACGCAAAAAUGGAGCUCCAUCCAUACUAAUCUUCACGUACAUUUUAGAAUUCUCAUUCUCAUGCAACAACGAGGACGACUCUUUUUCUCCAAAACUGUUUCUUUUUCUAUAUGAACAAACGGGUGGCCACCCCACGACUUGUCCCUUACUCGUCGUGUUACUGUUCUUUCUUCCAACACGAUUAUCAUCGUUGUCUCUUGUUGGCUCGUGAUCUCCAUUGACAAUAUCAUCGAAGGCUCGUUUCUUCUCGUUUUUGUUGCUGUUUCCAGGGAGACCGAGACCGAGACGAAGCUCGGUGAUCUCAAAUCCAAGGGAUUCCUUAGCCAUUUGUUGAAAAGAUAAGGGGUGUUUAAUUUAGAAAUAUUCGGGGGAAAAAUGAGAAGGGGAUUGGAAAUUGAAAGAGGGAUAUAUAGAAGAAAUGAAGAAAGGAGUGGGGAACAAUGACAGGUCAACUAAGGGGUUAAUGGUCGCGGAGAUGAGAAGCAAAGGUGGGGUCUUGGUGCUCCCUAAGACACUAUUAAGGACCGGCACAAUAAGUUGGAUCAACCACUUAUGUUUAGGGUUUUUUCUUUCUCUUUCUUUCUUUCUUUCUUUCUUUAAUCUUAUAAAUAUUUCCUCUACUCUUUAACUUCAUCAUUCUUGGAUUCAAUCCAAAUCGAUAUGAGUUCAUCUAUACACACUUUCACACCGUAUUAAAUUCAUAAACAUGAGAUUUCAUUUCAAAAUCUCAAAAUCAACUAGUAACACAUUAUCUUGUAAAGAGUAUAACCAAGGUUAUUGUUUUAUGGAUUAUUUGUUCUAUUCAUUCUUACAUAGCUCAUUCAUUGAACCAAAUGAUUGAUUUGGAUCGUAGUUGCAAUGUGAAAUUUAUUGUAUUGCUUUUAAAAGCAAUAUCGAUACGAUCUUAUCGUCUCAACUUGGUUGUUGUCCAAACAAAAGAGAGCUUAUUUUGCUCAAACUUAGAAAGAAAAAGAAAAAGAAAAAGAAAACAACAAAAUGGUAAGAGGGAAAGAAGAUAAAGUAUUAUGUGUGUAUUCCUUCAUAAUUGAAUUUCUAAAAAAUACAGAGAGUAAGGACGAUAACAAAGUUAUCAAUCAAUACUAUAUUACAUUUGCUAUGCAUCAACUGCCACAAUUUUGGGAAACUUUAAACGUAAGAGUAGUAAAAAGACAUUUUCCUCUUUUACGUGUAAAUGUGAUUGAGGGUGACCAAUAAAGCUGUUUCUUAAAUUAAUCGAACUGAAUUGAAUACUCAAUGAAACAAAAAAUUCAGCUUGAUCCGGUUUGAAUAAGUUAGAAACUAAAUUUACAACCAAACCGCACGGUUAAAAAGAGUAAAACCAAAUUAAAAAUGGAACCACAACAAAAAUGAAUUUAAAACCCAAUUGAAUCAAAUUGGAGUGGUGAAGAUAUAUUCUACUACCAACACAAUCAUAUAAGUCUUGGUGUGUAAUUAAAUAAACCCCAAGUAAAUCAGAACCUUCUAAUUUGAGACUACUUUUCUCAAAAUCUUUUGCCACAGAGCAUAAACCCAAGCCAUUCCCAACAACUUUAUAUUUACAACAUACUCAUCUUUUCUUUGGUAGAAGUUAGUCAUAUAUAUAUACAUGCCUGUGUAUGUGUUACUUUUUAAAAAAUCAUGUGCCUCAACUCACAUUGAAACAUAGAAAUAUCCUAUCCCCUUUCACCAUUUCACUUUUUGGAAGAAAAUCUCUCAUGUUUCUAUGUAUAUUAGGGUUUUUGACCGUAAAUGACAUGUAUGGAGUUAUACUUUUGGAAAAUGAGUAUCAAUUAACAUGUGAAACAUCUAUCGUCCCACGUUCUUUUUAGUUUUGAUAUAUAAAGCUUAAAAGAAAUAUACAAAUUGAAUACAAGAAUAUAUCGAAAAGGAAAUAGUUGAAAGAGAUCUCAAACCCAAACAAACAUUAUUCAAUAAAAUUCAAAUAGUUAUUCAUCAUUCUAUCUUUUAAUUAAUCUUUUACUAUAUACUUUGAAAUUAAUUAUUGUAACUAAAUCAAUCAUAUACAUAAUAUUUGAUAUGCUUUUUUUUUUUCCUAUUUCAUAAAUCCUUCAUAAUUGAUCCUUUAGCAUAUGAAAUAAUGAACAAAAGAAAGUACUCAUUAUUUCAAACAAAAUUAUCUAAGCUUUAUGAUUUCUAUUGUGUGUGAAGUUUGUUUACCUUUUGAUUUUUAAUUGAAUUAUUAAAUUUUUAAUGAAAUAUUCUAAAUCUCAAAAACAAAUAAUUAUUUAAGAAAAUUUAAUAAAACUCAUUAAUUAUUUUGAUGGUUAUAUACACAAAAAAUCAAUAUAUAUAUAUGAUAUAUAUAUAUAUAUAUAUAUAUAUACACGAAUGAUGGUAUUGUCGGAAAAUUUGUUUAUUAAUUUUAGUUAUUGUUUGAUUCCAUAUUAUAUUGUGCAUGAACAAAAUGAUUUUGGUAGAAGGAAUUUCAAAAUACACUUUUGUUGGAAAGAAAUGAAAAAGGAAUUAAAAAAGAGAAGUGCUUCAUAAUCAAUGGAAAUUAAAGAAGGAGAGAAUCAUUUGAAGAAGAUUUGGGUGUGCAAAAAUAAUAAUGAAAUAAACCAAAGUUGUAAUUCCUCACACUAAUUAUGUCUCAAAUCAAAUUAUUAUCACAAAUUAUUCAUACAUUUUCAAUCUAUUUUACUCCUGAUUUCUAAUAUUUCUUGAAAGCAUUAAGCUAAAUUCAAUAAAUCAAAUCUCCCUUUUUAGUUCGAUAACAUCAAAACCAUUUAAAUUAUAUAUAUAUACACAUAUAUACAAACACAUUUGAAUUUUAUAUAAUUAAUAUAUGGUUUUCUUCUUAUUUUGUCGUCAUGUUUUCAAAUUUUUUAAUUUUGUUUUUUAUAUUGAAAGUUUUCUAAACAUAAAAUCAAUAAAUAUUAACAAUGAAGUGAUAAUUUUUUUUAAAAAAAAACUAGUUAUAUGGUUUGUAUUGUAUAUAAUUAGUAAUGUUUUUAAUAGUAGGCCCAACUAGGUCCCAUUUGUUCUAUGAGCCCACAUUUUCCAUAUUUAUUUUUAAAAUUUUGAGUACACACAUUUUCUAUAAUUAGUCAUGUUGAGUUGAUAUCAAUUUAUAAAUUGAAAUAUAUAAGAUGUGCUUCUAUCUAAAUAUCAUAAUCACUUUGGUUCACACAUCCAAAAUAGAUAGAUUUAACGUUAAUUAAAUAUAUUUAAAUCUUUAAAAAAACAAUUUAACUAUCCUAUAUAUUUAUUAUUUUUACAGUUCAAAAUAGACCAUUAAUUAUGCAAAAAAAAAAAAAAUGGAUAGUACAAAUUAAUGAGAUAUAUUAAUUUAACCUUUGAGAAAUUAAUAAAUAAUGUGAUUCACAUAAAUAGUUUUUAUAUACAAUAGUCAAUAAAUUAAAGCAUGUUAUAUGUAGGGAUGAAGAACAACAUAUAGUCAAAAUGACCACAUAACACAUGAUUUGAUGGAAAAUUAAUAAAGAGACUCCUCAUCAACAGCUUUUAUUUCUCUCUGUUUGUUCCUAUUUAAUCUUAAUUAGUAGUUAAUUUCAAGAAGAAAUUAUUAAACUUCUUUCAACUUUUCGUUUGUUAAUUACUUUUUCAUUCAAAAACUCAUAAGAUUAAAAGGUUUUACUUACGGAUGUGAGCUAAUACAUUGUGAAGACGAUAUGUUAAAUUUAAUAAAGUACAUGAUUUCUCGAUUUGGAAGAGGACGUAAUUAACACAUUCUCUAGAGACUACUCUUUGUUGUUUUCUUCGAUUAUUGUCCGUUUCGAAAUACCAAAAGCGAAUAGUGUUGUUAAUGCAGUAUGUAAGUGUGUUAUAGUAAAGUUAAGUAAUGGAGUUUAAUUUAGAGAGAGGGAAAGAGAUAGAAGGUGAGAGAAAGAAAGAGAAAUGUUUGUUAGCAACCGAGCAUAUGUUUCCUUGGAGUUGGACAAGAGAAGAAGAGUGAAAGAGUGAAAGAAAGAAGAAGAGAGAAAAGGCAUAUCCCUAAGAGAAAGGCACACGUGAUAGAGUUGGUCUCCCCCAUAUCAUAAGGUCACCAAUGUCUAAUUUUGGUUCUUUAACUCCAACCCAUUCCAUUUACACAAUUAGACCAUAAAUAUUAUUUAGAUUUCGCCUCUCAAUAAUAUCGUCUCUACCACUUCUAAAUCAAAACAGGACCCAUCACUCAACUUUCUUCUAUACCAUUUUAUGGUUAUUUUCAUUCCUUAAAUCGUAUGAGAGAGAAACAGCAAAAGUAUCUCAAAUUUGUAUCUAGUGGUUAUUAGAAAACUAUACAUAUAAACUUUUUAAUAUUUUCUCGUUUAUCGUUAAAGGAACAAUUAAAUAUAUUUACGAAAAUUUCUUCAAAAUUUCUAUUUUCUUGGCUAUUUGUUGUAAGGAAAGUAUAAGCAUAUGAUGAUGCUUAGUUAUAUUAUUACAUGUGAGAUGUUUCUCAUUUUUCUUUUCUUUUCUUAAGGUUUAGUAUGGAGAUAAUGACAUUAAUUAUUAAACUUCUCCUUUACCAUUUACUUUUCUUUAGUUUGCCUUUUAAAUUCACCUUUUUUUCACCUAAGAACUCAUUGUAUAUAUACUUAGGUCUUUUUAUAAUGGUUUCAAUCUUAGUUUUAUGAAAUUAAUGCCAAUAUUUUUCUAGAAAAAGAAAAUCAAAAUUUCUAGCCAAAUUAUAAAACCCAAAAAUACUUUUAAAAAUAAACUACUAUUUUUAUACUCAUUUUUAAAAUCUUUUAAACAUUAGUAAAAAGUUAAUAACAAAAUGUAAAGCUUAUGAGUCAAAGAAUAAGUAAUGUUUAUAAUCAUUAUCUUUAUUUUAAAAACCUUUAAUAAAAUACAAAAUUACUAUCAACUUGUAAACCUGAAAACUAUUUUUCAUAUAUUAUUAUAUAUAGGGAAAAAAAAAAAAACUUAAUUCAAAUGUUUAUAAUGGGCACCGCCUUAAAAGUAUUUAAACAACCAACUCAAAAUCACUUUAUGUUAUAAUAAUUACUUUCUCACCCAAGCACUUUAGAGCAAUAUUUUUCACUUUAUUAGAAAAAUUUAUCCAACGUAUUUGUAAAACGAAACGUUCAAAAUACAAUAUAUUUUUUUUCCUUGAAGAUAUUUGCAUGGAAAAGUUAAAUUAGUGAAAAGAAAAAGAAAAAAAAAAACUUUUGAAAAUCACUUUUGGGCUUUUAUGAAAAGUGUCGGUAGAUUAUGUACAUACCUUUGUUUUUCUUUUUGCAAAUAUAUCAUUUCCAUUAGCGUUGGACAAAUAUAAAAAAGAAAUUAUUAUAUCAAGAUAAAUAUAUAUUAUGAUUUUUUAUAAAUACCCAAUAAAAUGCUCCUAUUUUAUUUUUCUACCAAACAAAUGAAUUGAAUUUUUCAUAAAAAUAAAUAAAAUAUUUUAUCUUCUCUCUCUAAAUUAUAGCUUAGCUUUAAAAAAAGAAAGUAAGACAGCAUAUUUGUUUUGAAGGAGGACUUGAGGGUUGAAUCUAUAUAAUUAGCUAAAAAUUAAAAACAUCACACAUGGCAAGUGUCACAUGUGUCUAUAUAUAUAAUAAUAAUACUAUAUACUACAAACAUUAAUAUGCAAACCAAACAAAACACUAGUUACCUAUUUUAUAUAUCGAUUCAAUUCAUUUACAAAUUUCUUUCAUUUAUAUAUUUUUUAAUUAUUUUAUAAUAAAUAUAUCGUAGAAUUUCAACUUUAUAACCUUUUUGUUCUAUGCACGUUUUAUUCGUGAAAUAGAUCUCUAAAUUACUUUUGAGAAAAUAAAUCUUAAAAUUGAAGUUUAUUCUUCUAUUUUUGCCACUUCAUAUGAUAAUACAUUUUAAUACAAGUUCCAAUUCUUUUUAUUAAUUUUUUUUCUUUCUACAAAUAAUCAAACAAGUGAGAGAUUUCUAUAAAAGUCUAAGUUCAUCUACCUUGACAAAAAACAAAGAGUUUUCUUAAAUCAUACGCAAGAUAACGUUCUAUCAUUUAAAAAAAAAAAAAAACUUGAUUUAGAAAAUCAAUCAAGAAAUUGAAAAACAAAUAAUGCUGCAAUUGAUCCCUAAAUAACUAAAGAGGGGUUGGGUGAUUAAAAGGAAAAGCAGAAAUUGGGUAAAGCAAUUUAAAGAACAAAGUGAAACAUAGAAGUGGGCCAUGUGUUCGGACGCGGUUAAGAAUAUGGGCCAAGGUUUGUUUGAAUUUGGGCCGAUAUGUAAUCUUUGAAAAGUCCGGACCCAACAAUGGCCCAUAAACUCCAACAGAUGGAGACUCCACUCCACUCCUUUGUCUUUUCUUUUAUAUCUAAUUUUAAAAAUAAUAAUUAAGAAUAUAACAAUAUUUUUAAAAAAUUAUAAAUAUAACGAAACUAUAAAUGAAUAGAUUUUUAUUACUAAUAGACUCGUAUAGUCUAUCAAUAAUAGAAUAGUAUUUGCAACAUGAUCUAUCGGUUUCUAUCAUUGACUAAUUUUGUUAUAUUUAUAAAAAUUUUAAAAUGUUGCUAUAUACUUAAUUAUUUUGAAUCUAAUUGUUAAAUUUGCAACUAUCUAUUAUAACUAUAACAUAACUUAAAAUCAUAUAUUCAAAUUUUCAUUCUCAUAAAUAUCAUGGAUUAUGAAAUUAUAAUAUUUAACAUCUCAUAAAAAUUGAAACAAUGGUGUUAAUGUCAACAAAUUCAGUUGCACAUUCAUUUAUUAAAUUUGCACUUUUGAUCUCAUAAGUUACAUUUCCCUACAGCUUAGUCAUAUGAAAAUAAAAAUUGAAAAAUGAAAAAUGGAUUGAAUGAAAUGAAAUUAAAGUAAGUAGAGAAGGUAAAUUUAUCUUUUUGAAGUUAAAUGGAAUAUGGUGUCCAAAGAGUUGUUGCUCGAACAAGUUCAAUUCCCUCGGAUAGGACAGAGUGGUGGAGUUUGAUGAAAUUUUCUCUAACGAGAUAGUUUCCAUUGGAAACGGUAUCAUUUUGAAUAGGCAUAGACAAAGAUUGCAACUUUUUGCCAACUCCACAUUCUUUAAGGUAUUUGAUUGUUAGAGCUGAAAGCCAAUGACUUUCUAGCACCCAUCCAGGAGUUCCCUGAAACCAUCAAGAAAAUGGUGUGAGUGCUGUAAAAGUUUCUAAUAAGUGUUUUUGUAUAAUUAAGAUCUAUGAGGUGACACGUCACACGUGAUAGCUUUUUACAUAAGGAUUUAAGGAUUUUCUUUUUUCUUUCAAAUGUAUUAAAUUUAUGUGUGGAUAGUGGAAAUACUACGUCGGUUGAGCUAUUCUAUUUUUGACUUUUUUUUUUAUUUUAAGAAAAGGAGUUAUGUUCAUGUUUGAGUGUGUAUCCGAUUCGUUUUCUUUUUUACUAUAUGUGGAAUGAAAGAAUUAAAGUUAUAAUAUACCAGUUGUACUCAAAUACAUAAAUUUUACAUAUAGUUCUUAGUAAAUAAAAAAAAAGUAAUUUCAAAACGUGUUGAGGUGAUACAAAAGGAGGAUAAAAAAUAACAUACCUCAAGGAUGAAGUUGAUAUAACUUGCAUUAUUUACAUGAUGGUUCAUAUCCAAAUCACUCAGUCUCGUCUGAAUUUUUAAAAAAAUGUUAUUACUAAUAUAGAAUAAACACAUACAACAUCCAAGAGUAUAGUAACAUAAAGUCUAUUAGAUAAACUCUUAAUAGUCUAUCAAUGAAUUAUAGAUUAUUACUUAAAAUAUGGUUUAAUUAAUGAUAAACUAAUAUUUACAGUAUGAUCUAUUAUGGAUAGAUUUCUAUCGUUGAUAGACUAUGACAAACAUUGCAUCAUCUUAUGAUUGACCAAUAUUUGUAAUUUUUUUUUUAAAGAUAUUGAUAUAUAUAUAUAUAUAUAUAUAUAUAUAUAUAUAUAUAUAUAUAUAUAAUCAUUUAGUUUUUGUUCUUGGGAAUUGAGUUUAAAACUUAUUAAUUACCACUAAAGAUGUGCAAUUGCAACCCUUUGCAUGAACAUCUAGUUUUGUUGAGAUGAUGUUAUCUUCUUCAAUGAUGGGAUCACUGUGCAAGAAGUGGGGAUUCAUUUCUUCCUUCAUUUCAUCAUAAAAUUUUGAUAAUUUUCUUGUCUUUCUAUUCAUCAAAACAUAGAAACUGCAAAACCACACAUUCAUUAGUGAUCGACUUUGAAGGAUUUUCGUCAACUUCCCUACCCUCACUUUGUACUAAAAAAAACUUUGAAGAGUUUUUUUUUAUUCUUUUUUAUUAUUGUUAUCAAAAGAAAGAAUAAACGAACAAAUUACCAAGAAGCACGGAUCAAAACUUGACCAGUUUUAUAGUUACGGACAAUCCAGUCUCGACGAUAACUAUUUUUCCCAUGAACACAACUCCAUGUUCGUAGUUGAACAAUGUCAUUCCUUUAAAAGAAGAAAAAUAUAUAUGUAGAUUAUAUAUUACAAAAAUACCAAAAAUGAAUUUUUGUUACGACAAAACUACUUGUUAAAAUAUUUAAAAUUACCAAGAAGGAUAUUGGUCCACCACGACUUGCAAUUUAUGAACAACCCAUAUGAGGCCCCUUUUAGUCAUUCCCGGUGUUGUGCCUAAUCCUGUCGUCACCAAUCCACAACUUUUCAAGUGGUUUAGUUUUGACUCCUAGUGAAAAAAACGCUUUCAUCAUUUUCAAAAUCAUUCGAAAACUACUUGAAAUAUAUACACGUUCAAAACUGUAAAUUUAAACUCACACCUGUAAUUGGUUGAUGAUGAAAAACAUCGUCAUAUUUUUAUCAGGUCCUGACUCGUAUGAUUUUACCAAGAAAUGACGUUGAUAAACCAAACCAUCAUUAAGUAACUCUCCCAUAGUUAGGUUCCCAUGAGUUAUGUCAAGAUUUCUUGACUCAUAACUAUUAAUCUUUCUAACUUCACCUUCCAAAAAAAAUGAAUGAAUCAAUUAUAUCUUUCUUCUUCACAGAAGUGUUGAAAAAUAAGAAAGAAACUUUAAAAUCUUACUUGCAAUGGAGGACUUAGCAAUGAUAUUAGAAGUUCUGAGCCCUUCUAAGCAAAAUUUGGGAUGAUUUUUGAGCUGCAAAUUACCUCUAUUUGAAUCUCCAAAUCUUUGUUCUUUCUUCAAAUUUGAGUUAAAUUCCUCACCAAAAUUACAACAAUAUGAUGAAGAAAUUGCAGCCAUCACCAACUUUUGCACAAAAAAAAUAUUUGAUGAUAGAAAUGGAGCAUUGGAAGAGAGAAGAGAAUUAUCAUUUAUAAGAGAGAUUUUUUUAGUUAGAUUUAAUUUUGUUCAGUUUUUACAUUUCUACUAACUUAAACCUUCAUAAUUACCAUUGAUGGAUUGUUUUCAUGAAUUUUCAGUUUAAAGAUGUUAGAAGACAUUCAUUGUUCUUAUAAAAUUGAUGCUGAGUUUUGUAUCUCAAUCAAUUCAUAAUUGUUUUUGUUUUAUUUUCUUCUUCUUUUAAAACUAUAACUCUCUCUAUGUAAUUUGAUGUAAACAAGAGAACCAAUUUCAUUAAGAUGACAAAAAAAACGUCAUCAAAUACAAAGCAGUUUGCAUAUAUAUAUAUAUAUAUAUAUGCAGCAAUUUCUGACCAACAGCCAACUAGUACCAACUAAACAAAAAUCCAAGCCUAAUAUUUAACCAAAAUCUUGUCUACAUUUUUCGUUAGUAAGCUUAUUAAAUUUGGAUUAUAUGUCACAUAAGUCAUUCAAGAGGUCUUAGUUAUGAUGCAAAAUAGCCCUAGGUGCAUAUUGUAAUUAUAAUUCAAUUUGGAGAUGCCCUCGAUAACAAUAUUUAAAUAAAGUAUGAGAUUUGAACUCUCCAUUUUUUUAUGUCAAACAAAAAGCACAUAACAAUGACUAUUUGCUUACCUCACAGAUACAUAGUUUAUAACCGUUGUUUUAAGUUCUAAUUAUUUGUCUAAAAUAGGUUUAUUAAAUAAAAAUAAAGAUUUUUCUUCUUCUACUGCAUGACAUUGGAGAAAUCUCAUGGUUGUGUUUAUCUUAGUAGUUUAAUUUGAUUACAUCAAAUUACGAAAAAAAUCAAAAGUUUGAUUCUUCCACCAACAUAUUAAACUAAAAAAGAUGUCAUUCAUCAUAGUAAUGCUUAGUAAAUAAAAUAUGAUACUAGGGUCAAUAAUGAUAUCAAAUACUUUUUGGUUGAGAAAAUACUAAAAUAUCCAUACAGAGAAUGUCAACAUGCAUCAGCUAAUGUUUUAGCUUUCUAUAUUCCUUGAUGGUAACUAAUAUGUAAAUUGGCAAUGGGCGACUCAACGACUGAAAAACCGAUAUGCAUUGAUGAUAUAUUGAUAUCAACAGAUCUUUGUAUAAGUUAAAAAUUAAUCAAAUACAAAAAAAAAUAGAUCAGUAAUUCAAUGGCAAAAAUUUCCAUAUAUGGUGUUUAUAUAACAUGGCAAUCAGUGAAAUGGAGAAAGGUACAUCUUUAAGUUUAGUAUGUGUAUGUAGCAUAAUGAUGUAUCCAUGGAGGAUAUGGAGAAAAAAGAAAACUAGCUCUUAAACUAAAUAUAACCUCAGAGAUAUUGGAUUGGAGCAAAACCCAUAUAACAUCCUUGUGUCUAAAAUCUACAAAAAUUGUGAGCAACUGAAAAUGUCAGACCCUCCAAAUCCAAUUGGGAACUGAAGUUAUACACAUUUGCAGAAGGAAUACAUAUCAGUGAAUUGGGAAAAGUAGAAGAAAUGGGUAAAAAAGAAAAAUGAAAGAGGAAAAAUGAAAAGAAAAAAAAAAAAAGAGAGAGCAAAACAAGAUCUUCAACAAACUACAAACCGGAGCAUCACAGCUAGCUAUGAAAAUCUAGCAUGUGAUGGUGGUUGUUGAUUCUUUGCAAGUAAUUAACAGAUUCUUGGGCAGCUUUCCGAAUGAUGUGCUUUUGAAUCAUCCAAGGACAAUAUCAUCUCAAAAAUUUAACCUGCAAAUGCAGCAAUAUCUUACCUUACAUGUUUGAGCAUUAGGCAUCACCGUCAAAUCGUAAGCUCCUUGAACCCAUCAAUCUUUCCAUUAUCUGAAAUGGAGUUGGCACUUUGAUUGGCACCAACCCUUUCAGCAUCUUUGAAUAUUUGAUUGUUCACUGAGUUCGGUACGGCAGAACUAAGACUGCCUUCAAAGUAUGUCGAGUAAGGGAAUAACUCCAAACAUCGGGUUUUCCAUCCUAAGUAGAAUUCACAUAAGCAACACACAACACUAGAUUAGAAUAUAAUUAUAUGCCACCACAUACUAUUUGGUCAAAUUUAUGGCCAAUAAUAUAAAUCCAUUCAAAACUUUAGGAGUGCACACUAUGACUACAACAUUGGACACAUGAAUUGGCAGGGAUCUACACUUACUUGAUGCGGCAGCAUGGUCAAUAAGGACUGUUUCCAGGAGCUUGUGAACGGCUAUGCACUCCUUGAGCGUCCACUCCUUAAUUGGCCCAAGUGCCCCAUUUCUGAUAAAACCAGAUCUCAAUUCCAUUACUAAUGCGAAGCUAAACAUAUAGGCAUAUGCAACAUAAACAGAAGUUAAUAGGACUCGGGAGGAUGUAUUAACCUUGGCACUAUGCCGUUUGUUGACUCUUCAAUCAAUUUGAUAGCCUCAGAUUUUCUCUGAGGUUCUAAUAAAUUUAGCAUUUCUGCAACUGCAGCUCUGUGCAUUAAGGAAUCUGCAAUUCGAAUAACGAUUGUUUUAGAAGCCAUAAAAAGCAUACCGCAGUACAUCUGGGGAGCAGUGGGCUCAGAAGCACAGAUGCAAACACAUUGCGUGAUGAAUAUAUGAAUCCAAGCACAUCAUGGAGCUUUCAAAGGUUAAGAAUUGUAUUUGGGAAGUGUACAAGUAUGUCCUGGAGUGGGUUUUUUUUUAAUGUUUAUUUCACCAUUACUCUUUCAAGGACGUUCAGAGUUGAAAAGGGUCUGAUGUUUUAAUUGUUUGUAUUUAUAGGUUACUUUGGAACUUGAGAAAUAAGACGUACUUUCUUGAUAAUAUUCCAAUAUUCAAAAUGAAAAUUUCUGUUUUCACCAGGCGAGCGCCCCCAAAAAAAGAAAAUGAAGAAGAUAUGAAGUGGUCAAGAACAAGAUAUCCCAUGCAUAAUUAAAAUAAUGGUUUAUGGAACUGCAAUCCAGUGGAUGAUAACCUUUGUGUUUCUCAAGGAAAACUUCAUUCGCCUCCAUCAAAGAUCUUCCAUGCACUUGACUGCAGCAGGAGAAGAUAAAACCAUUUAGAGUAAACCACAGAGUGAAUAUUAGGUGUAACUCAAAGAAGUUCUAAAACCUGAUCAGAGGACGCUCUGCAUCUAAGACACUCCAAACAAGUUUUUCAGCAUCAGUUGUUGGAGCAGGCAUUGAGUCCACCUUGCAGAAGAACUUGAUCUGCAAACAAGUACAUAGGGCCAAAAAACCACAACAUUCAUACAAGUUAAAGAAGCACACAUAGAAAACACAGAUAUAAGCCUUUUCAGACAAUAAAACAUUUAUUUAUAAAAUAUUGAUCAAAAUAAAGGAUACAACACAAAUAUAGAAUUUAUUAUGAAGUUCCAUGAAUUUGAAAGCGCAUGUGAUAGCAGAAUUUGGUCGCAAAAUUUUGAAAAUUUAAUGGAAAUCAAAUAAUAUAUUGAAUUGUAUUUUUGAGACUUGUCCAAGAUGUUAAAGGAAAUAGAGAAAGUAGGUUUAGAGAGAGUAGUGAAGGAUGAUUGCUAGGUAUAUAUAUAUAUAUAUAUAUAUUAUAUAUCAUGGUAUAAAGAUCUGAUUGCACACACAUCGCCUAUUCUCAAACACAAGUGUCUUGCCUACUAUAUUUAGUCUUCAGAGCAGCCUGCAGGAUAUUAAAUUGGGUUGACCACCCUUUACUUCCACACUGACCCUUGUUAACCACUAAGCCAAACCAUCUUGUCUAUCUUGUCAAUAAUGAGGUGCCAUAAGAUAGAGAGGAGGGCCCACAACCAUGGAUGGAAAGGGAUACCAAUCUAAGAGAUGGAGAGGUUACAAGAUUGAAGCCACUUGUCCAUCUCAACAUAGAGUUGAAAGAGAUAACAAGCUAGAGAGUAGAGAGACGGAUGGGAUACUUGGAGGGAAAAAGUAGAGGAUGAAAGAUGCUUAGAACAAGAGGCUAUGAGUUGCAAGAAAACACAGAUUCCUUUUUCAUUCCAAUUUCUAUACCUCGCUCUGUUUUUCUUUUUUAUUAUUUUUUUAAAGGAAACAUUUUAUUGAUGUGAUGAAUUUACAAUACUUAUGAAAAAUGAAACUCCAAAGGGCUACGAAGGGUGAUAAAUUGAUUUUAAAGAGAAUUUAAUUAACACCAAGAAGCAAUAGGUAUAUAUAAUAGAGGAGAAGAGAUAGAGUUUCAUGCCCUUUUUCAGUGAAGAUAAUGAACCACAAAAAGUUGUUUAGCCAAAGGUUUUUUUAACCUUUUUGAAAGGGAUGUCCAAAGCAUGAUGGAAAGGAGAUCCCAAAUGUCAUAUUGAAUGGCAGUGUGCCAACCAAAACGCCUUCAGAAUCAAAUCUGAAAAGGAUCUAGCAAAGGUACAUAAGCUGAAAAGGUGGAUGAGAUUUUCAACAUCUUUUUUUGCACAAAAAACAGCAGCUUGAAGGAAUAUUUAGCCAUGAAGAUCUUCGUUGGAGCCUCUCGCGGGUGUUUAGAAAAACUAAACAGCAGUUUUUUGUUAUAAUUUUGAAAUAAUUAAUUAAAAAAAGAAAAAAAAAAGUACUAUAAAAAUAGACUCGUUUUUUAGAACAAUCAAUCUCACAGUGUAAAGUAGCCAUAUAGAACCUACUGGAUUAAAAAACAUUAAAGCAAGAAAAAAAUAUAUAUAUUAUAUCAAACAGCCUCCAAGUAGCUAUGAAACUAUUCACAUUUCACGAAACAUACCAAACAACGAUGUGAAUCUGGGUGUUCCACGUCCAACCUUAAAAGCUGCUUUACAGCCUACAGGAAAGCAGCAGCACAAAAACAUAAUAAAUAUAAUAAAACUGGGAACAAAAGGAAAGAAUAGCGGGCUUGGGGUUUAAGUCACAGCUAGAUCAAUUAUUUUUAUAAAAAAUAUCACUCAGAAAAAUUAAAUAACUGCCUUAUACUACAGCUAGGGCCAGUAUUCUGAAGAAAAGCAGGGGGGAAUUCCAAGAUCUGUAUUUUAUACGUAUCACAUACCUGGAAGGCAAGCAAAAUUUUCUGCCUUCUUAUGUUUACUUCAAAAGAAAGUACGUGUGUGUCCAAGAAAUCGGGAGAAUGCUUCUGAAGUAACUUCAAGUACUUUGUAGCCUCCAGUAAUGGAUCUUCAACCUAUAAGAAAAUUAAAUGAAAUUUAUGAAACUUCACAAACUGGCCCACUCACAUACAUAAACACAGACAGAGAACAACCUGCACCAACUUUUCUCCAUGCGGGUCUGUAUCAACAGGCUUGACAUGUCGUUUCCCUGACUUUGAGACACCGGAAUUAUUUGUUUCUUCAUUCUUCACAUCUGCCUCCUAAUAUGAAACAGAAUAUAUUAGAAAUCAACAGAGAGAUAGCAUCCCAACAAAAGGCAAUAAUAAACCACAAUACUUUCUUAGCUCGUGCUUCGGCCUUUCUUUGUUUUUGCCUCAUCUUCUUUUUCUGAGAAGGAAGCAAAUUUGACAUAUCAUCAUCCUCUCCCGUACUUGAUUUUGGAGGAGAGUCAUAUAAUUUGAUAUAGCAUCUGCACCUCAAAUUUGAAUAAAAUGUUAUGACAAAAAAUAAGAGAAGACAACUCACAUAGAAAACAAACUACACAAACAUUUUUCCAUUUUUCUAGGAGGGAAAGGUAAGAAACCAAGUAAACUUUCUUCAAAAUAGCGGAGAAGGAAGAAUGCAAAUAUGAUAGGGCGAACAAAAGAAUAAAUCUCUUGAUAGGUUAGACUUCUCAAGGCUCCCGAGCAAUGUAAUUGUUCCUUUUAUCCUUCUUCAAACUAAAGUUUCAAUGGCCUUUGUUAUUUGCAAACAUUUUUGUAACCCAAAUCAAUGAAACAUCAGAUUCACUAUUUUUGGGAGGGUAAGAAACUGAACAAACAUCACAUCUCAUUAAAUUUUAUCGCUAACUUUUUAUUUCUUAAAAAAUAACAAAGUCUUGGGGCCUUCUGCCUAAAAUUAUGUAUACACUUGGCUACAAAUUAAGGAGUAAGGUAUUAUAGUUCUGGAAACUUCUCAGUUCGAAAUCUUGCGUUGAUCUUUGGCAAUUGAUUGAACACGUCCACUAGAUCGUAUUAGAUCUUUCAUAAUCUUUUUGUGGUGUGCUUAAAAGGAAAAUUAGAUUCAUAUCAAGGCAAUGGCGCAAAAUUGAUUCAUUGUCUCUUUUCAAAUUAGGUGAUGGUAGCAAAAUAUUGUUUUGGAAGCACCCUUGGAUGGACAUUAUCACUUUGGAGUGUAAAUUUACAAGAUUGGUUAGAAUCGCACUCAAUCCAAAUGGGUCUGUUUUAGAUCAUUGGGACUCUUCAACCAACUCUUGGUCCAUCUAUUUCAGAAGAUUGCUUAAUGAUGAGGAAAUAUUAGAUUUUCUGACCUUGUUGAAUCGGAUUUCUUCUUCACAACAAGCCUCCUUUCCAGAUGAAGGUUUUGGUCCCUUGAAAACUCAGGUUUCUUCUCGGUAAAAUCACUGGUUAAGCAUCUUUCGACAUCUUCUCCUUUGGAAAGUUCUUUGUACAAAAGGCUUUAGAAAUCUAACAGUCCAAGAAGGAUAGAUAUAUCCAAGAAAGCUUUCCUCCCAUGCCCUCUCACCUCAUGCUUGCCCUCUUUGUGUUAAACAUCCAGCAUCUUUUAUUUGAUUGUCUUUGCAUCUAAAUGUUGGUUCCGCCGUCUCCAAGCAUUCAAUUUUUGUUGGGUUUUGUGUCAUGUUUUUAAGAACAAUGUGUCUCAAAUUCUUGCUGGUCCAGACUUGAAGAAGAAGACAGCUGAAUUAUUGUGGGCAAAUGCAGUAAAAGCACUUUUAGCUAAAUUUUGGUUUGAAAGAAACCAAAGAGUUCCAUGAUAAGUCAACUUGGUUGAAACGCUAUGACUCUACUCUUUUGAAUGCAACUCCAUGGUGCUCAUUAUCUAAAUAUUUUCAGGAUUACUCUUAGCCUCCCCACCCUGAAGUUCUAGAUUAUAAUGCCUUCCGAAUCAGCCUUCUGCUCCAAUCAGUUUUUGCUCAAUCAAGGAUUAUUAUUUUUGUUUUAUAUUCGGCUUGCUGCCUUGCUUAUGUUUCUGUUUUUGAUAGUUUUUUCUUCCAUCUCGUUUGGCCUUGUAUUGUGGUCUUUGAUUUGAUAUUGUAUGCUUUUAGAAACCUGGUAUAUGGGUUUUUUUUCACUUUUUGGAUGUGAUGAGGGCACUAAGGGGGAGUCAACCUAGUUGAGAUGCCUGGGUGGGCCUGCUGAUCUUCCCCUCCCCCCAUCGCUCUAUGUAUACCCCUUAUGUACAUUGAGCUUUUUCUAUCUAUUUUCAAUAUUAAUAAUAGUAUCCUUUUCAAAAAAAAAAAAAAGACAAAUUAGAGAAACCCCUAAUUAGUUUAUUCACCUUCUCAUACAUGUUCAAUAUUUUAUUCUUUUCUUAUUGCGUUUAGAACAUAGGCUUCUAACAUGAAGAGUCGAAAUGCAUAAAAUUUAAAUGAACUUGAAGAAAUAUAUUUUGAUAACAUUUGCCAUCAUGUCCAAGUUCUUAGAAAUGGUAUAUCAUUAUGCAUAUGGAAUCUUAUUCAGAGUAAGAAUAGCCAGAAGUCUUAUUGGAAGUAAAAAGAUGCAUAAAGAGGAGAAAAACAACAAAAUAGGUCCUAUAGAAAGACUUCACCUGAUGGCCCCUAUAGCUGCUUUUUGAAAAUAUGGCUCUGAAUGCAAUCGAUCUUGGAACCUAAGCAUAUCAACGUAUGCACGCAGAGUCAUCUUCCGCAAGCAAUAAGAAUGGAAGUCAAACUGAUCUUCAGUAAUAUCAGCAUAAUGCUUCUCGACAGCCAAGAAGUUCUUUAGAGCCCGUCCAAGAUCACCUUGGCGGAAGUAACUUUCACCAGAUGCAAGUUCAUACCUUUAUAAAAGAAAAAAUAAAUGUUCAAUAAAAUUUAAAUUAAGAACAAUGAUAGUUGAUAUUUGACAGACAAGACAGAGGAUGAAGACAAACCACAUGCAUUGCAUAUCAUGGAGGUUAUUGUGCUGAUCUCCAUCUUUUGUGAACAAAACUGCCGUUUUUUCUGCCAAGGCCACCUUCAAGUAUGAUGCCAUUUUAGAAACAUUAAUAGUAAAGCUCAGUGAUAGUACACAAGCAACUAAAUUGUGCAUCUUUAACAAUAUAAAAUGCAGAAAUUAAGAAGGGAAAAUCAUUGUAAAACCUGAUCUGCCUGCAGCAUACGCUUGACACAAUCACUAUUUAUGUACCGAUCUGCCAAAUCCAUACACCUAGCUUCAUCUGCCAAUGCAGCAGAAGCAACUGCAUCACCAGCAUGCUUCAAUAUCCGGCUCUGUAGGAUAAUAAUACAUUAAAACAAUAAUAAUCAAGCAUGAAUCUGAAUCAUAAAAGAUGAAGACAGUGUUCGUCAAUAGUUUAAAAAACUAUCAUCAUUAUUAACAAUGAGAUUUAUUAUAAAACCAAGUUUUGAUAGUAAGUAUCAUAACAUCUAAACAAGCCUACAAGCCUUAAGACAUCAGUAUGUAACGUUAAAGCCACCUUCUCUAGAAAACUUUGAAUGCCUAUGUAUAUCCAAAAUUUAUCUGCCCACUCGUUUGAUGAAGAUAAAAUUAAAUCAUACCAAAACGAAUCCUAAAUAUUUUUUUGGAGGAAAACAUCCCCAACCACUGUAAAACAAGCACUAUCUAGAACAUAGUCAAUGGCAACAUUUUUUUCCCCAUUCCGCAUACCUUCACAGAGUACAAGUCAAUGACAGUUGGAGUGUGUUUUAUAGCCUCAUCAAUCUUGGAGAGAGCAAUGUCACAUUGGCCCCUUCUGUCAUAAUGCUGAAUGCAAAAUACCGUGACCAUAAGAAUAUUUUGAUGAAACAAAAUCACCAGAAAAGCAAUGUCAAAGUAAUCGCCAAACUUACACACUAACCUGUGCCAGUAAGAACAAAAUCCACAUGAGUGUUGACGGGGGCUCCUUUUCAGUACUGUAGCAAAGACCAUAAAAAAAAAUUAAUGUAUAAAUGAUAAUUGAGAAAAAUAUUUCUUAAUCAUCCUCCUCCCUAUGAUACGAUUUUGCUUUUUCUUUGAACUAUUUUUCAGAAAAACCAUCCCAGGUGGAUCAUCAACGUCCAUGGAGUAAAGGAUAUAAAAUAAUAACAUAAUCCCUACACCACGACAAAGAUAGAAACCUUUUUAGAAUAGAAGCCCAAGUUCUGUCUGAUGCUUGCUCGUCAAGCAUAGAAAACUUCCAUUGAUUUUAUAGAACAUACAAACUAGUAGGUAACAGGGAGAUGGAGAGCCAUAGGAUUCAAAAACCAUAUAAACUAGUGGCCAGUGAUCAGAUCUCUCCAAAAUGUUACAGAAAAAGAGCUGAACUGGUGACAGUUUGAGAGAUUAUAAUUCCAUAAUAAUUUGGAAACCAAAAUUAUUUUCAAAAAGAUAAAAUAGAAAACUGGAUAUUCCCUUGGCUGAACUUGGAUGGGUCCCAUCUCAAUAAAGACUAGGACUUCUUAACUCAGAUCCUAUUUGCAUUGGGUCAAAGCUGUACAAGGUUCGGAUCAAUGAUGUUGGUUGCUAUUGUUUUCAUGGUCCGGAUGUGGAAUCAUUAAAGUGAACAAUGCCUAAAAAUUUCAAAGAAAUCUUUCAAAAUUGUUGUUUUGAGCUUCUAGUUUGAGUACUUGAUCCAGCUCAUGGAUUUCAUCACAAUAUGAGACAGACCAAGAAAUUCACAUGAAUGUCGGCCAAGAAGACCCCUGAGGAUAUUCUCCCAUACUUCUAAUAUAUUCUGCCAAAUCAAAUGAGAAGUUGUUUCAUUUUUAUUUAAAAAGAUGAACUCAUCUUACCAAAAUGAAAAGGCCAUUCAACGCACAAAAUCAUUGACAUGAUGAGCAAUUACUCUUCCUUAAUAUUCCAAGUCCAUGAAGUUCCUUCUCUUCAGCAACUCCAAUGAAUUUUAUGGUAGAAUGCCUUGUCCUUCAAUUUGUACUUUCUUUUUUCUUAAUAACACAGUGUAUCCUUGAUUCGUUGCUCUUUCACUAAAAAAUAUGCGGACAGACAUUUUCUCCCCUUUCGGCUGGAGUACUGUAGCACAGGCAAAUUCCAUAGAUCAGAUGUUGUUUGAUCAUCCUUUCAAGUAUGCUAACCUAUCCUUUGGUCCUUUAUAGAGAAAGCUGUUAUUUGGAAGAUAUGGAGCAAAACGAAUUCAAGGAUAUUUCAAAACAAAGAAAGAUCUACUGAAGAAGUUUUAGAUUUGUCCUUUUCUUAUCUUUUGUUGUAAAAACAUGGGUCCCUUCGCCAACUAUAGUGUAGCCUAAAUUCUCUCUUAGAGAAUUCUUGUGUCAUCCCAUUGGAUGGCUCUAGCCUUUUUAUAAUUUCAUUUUAUCAAUGAAAUUGUUUCCUAUCCCAGAAAAACUAAAACAAAAAAUUCUUUGCAGUUUGCACCAUCAAGAAGGUAGCUCAUUGCACUUCCAGAGUGGUGUACUAGAGUUAAAGAAAAACCUAUUUAUGAUUACUAUCUUAAUCUUCUAUGAAAGGGUGAACACUUGAGUGAUAGGGUUUUUGUAAUCUUCCUUUCGUUUGAGGGAUGCUUUAUCCCUUCCUUUCUUGAGCUUCUGGCUCUAAUCCUUUGAUAAAUAGAAUGCUAUUUCUGUUUAUCAUCAGAGAGAGAGAGAUUACCUCCCAGGGUACUGACCGCUAGUCCUGAUCGAAUGCUCCAACCAAAGAAUUAAUUGCUCUAGUAUGUCAGCCUGAACAAGAAUUCAUUGAAAGCAACAUUAAAAAAAUUCUAAGAAUUGAUAAUUAUUCGAGAAAUACAGACAGUACCAAAACUAUUCUUUAAAGAAAAAAAGAGAAAAGAAAAAGAAAAACGAAAAGAUUGGGCAAACUAACCUUUCCAGGCUGAUCAUACAAAGGGGAAAGAUCAGAGAACAGAGAAGGAACUCCCUGAAGAAAACAAAUUAAUUAAAGAAAAGAUUAAUUGAAAUCCAGCGUCCAGUAGAAAACAGAUAACCAAGACACAUAUUGAAUAUCCAUAGCAUGAAUACCUUUGUUAAGAGAGGCCGAAUAUAAUUAUCAGCUGCAUCUUUAAAUUUGUCACCUUGCAGAAAAUCAAGGGGUAUUCUCUGCCAAAGAACCAUUUUCAUCAAUAAAUUUUUCUUUUUUUUUUUUUUAAGAAUUUUCAUCAAUAAAUUUCAACUAGGAAAGAUCACGAAAUGGACAAUAACAACAUUAACAAUAUAACUAAAACAGUAGUAACAUAAAAGACAAUGACAACCGAAUUAUCCACAAAGUGCCAAUAAGGUGCAGACAUUAACAAAGGAAUUCCCUAUAGAAAUAUCUUUUAUUAAGAGGUACAGAAACAAACAUAAGAUGACCACUCAGAAAUAGGAUACACAACUACCAGAUUGACAAACUAUUACAAUAAAGAAUAUUAAGUGUAGGUAAUAAAAGAAGAGAUUGCAUAAAAUAAUAGAUUCAUAAAACAUGGCAGUACCAAAAACCCGCACCCUUCCAGAAAAAAAUUUAAAUAAAAGAUGAUUGUUUGUUUCUUCCAAACCCUUCACUGAAGCUCCUUUUCGUGUCAGUCUUUUGUUACUUUUGGGGGUGAGGAGGGGGAGGGGGGUUAUAUAUAAAAGGGAGGGAAAAAACCCACUAAAUAAAGGGUUGCCAGCUAUGAGGAAUAGGGUAAAUAAUUAAGGGAUGAAAGAUCACGACAUAAUUAAUUUCGUUAAAUAAAAAAUUAAGUGAGGCAAAAGCAGUCGUGGCCCUUCCAAAACAAAAAAAAAUCAUGAUUUUAGGUUCCUCUUAACAACUUGCAUGGUUUUGAAGGGAGUAAGGGUAAAAUGAGAUUCUACUCAACAUACUUCGAAUGAACAUAGGACCCUUAACUCUAGUGGUUCAUCUACUUUGAGACCUCCCAACUACCAAAUUCUAGAGAAAUGAUACUCUAGGCUCGUGGCCUAGUAAGUUAUACACUUAUAUUACAUUUAAUUAAUUCAAAACUUUUUUUUCAAUAAUACACAUUCUUGACUAACAUGUCAUGCUAAAGUUUCAUUCCACAUAUAAGUAGGCAAAAGUCGCAAAACAUUCCCUUACAGUUUUCUAGUCGUAUCAAAUUCUAUAAAUGGCCCGAUAUAUUUCUCAAGCCAGUCUUAAACUCGCAGAAAGAGAGUCGAAGGAAAACUUCAAAGGAUUUAUAAAAUAUCGUCAAGAUGCAUACCUUAACAGCAGAUGACCACCCAUUUUGCUGCCCCAGGGAUUUGUACAGUUCAUCUAACCGUUCGAUUUCUUUUGGAGAAUACUCCGAAUUUUUUGAAAAUAGCCCAACACAAACUUGUAGCCCCUCAUAGUAUCUAGUCAGUGGGAAGAAAAAAAAAAAAAAAAUAUAUAUAUAUAUAUAUAUUAUGAGACUGUAUACACACGUCGAUGCAAACUGAAAUAAAGUGUGUGUAUACAUUAUAGUUGUUAAAAUCAGCUUAUGCAUAUCUUAAUUAAUCUCAAGUGUCUAACUUUGACUUGGGUUCCGCACGUCUCAACUACUCUCACAAGACUACUACCAACCCUAGUAUAUUUAUUUUUCCUUUUUAUAGGAACCAUAAUCAUUUUAUGGAUGGUAUGAAAUAGCAGUCAACACAGCUACAUUUGGUUUCUAAGUAAACUCAGGAUAUUUAAUUGUAGGUAGGUAGUCAUAUCAUGCUUUGAACUCAAUCGCUCUUAAGUUUUUUUUACUUUUUCAUCUGCCAUUGAUCACUGAUUCACCAUUAUGCCAACUUAUCACAGUUUACAAAUCAAAGUACAUAUGAUCACACAUUUAAAUAUGGUUAUGUAGACCUGCUAUGAAAUUAUCUUCUCAAGCUUUUCAAGAUGUUAAAAACUGUUCGUCUCUUAUAGAGAAGGGAAAAAAGGCAAUUGCCUUUCUUUCUUAUUGUAAGACCGUUAGUUAUGGAAUUGGUAGGAUUAUAGAAAAUAUUAGUAUGGUUAUUAGAAGGAGCAUAUUAGUAAUUAGAUAGUAAGUUGGCAAGGGCUUUCAGUUAUAAAUAGUGAGAGAAGGUGGAGAGGAAAGGGGAAGAAUUUUGUAGUGUUUUCCAAUAGGAUUAUUGGGAGAGAAUAGUCCUCUCGAAAGGCUAUGUUAUAUUGUAGUUUCUUUAUUGAUAUUCCAAUAGAAAUCUAUCUUUAGUGUUCUUUGUCUGUUCUUUGUGUUACUGAGUACUCUUGUUAGGAGGUAUUCUAACACUUAUUUAACUCAAUGUACAAAUAUGGAACCUACCAGCCUAUGUAGUAGAAAAUAAACUUUACCAAUUUUAUUUCGGUUCCUGUAGGACCUUAGAGCCAAAGAAAUAAACCAAGCCAUAUAAUUUGAGAUCUUUUCACUCAAAGAGAAGCAGCUGCAGGAGAUCGAAAUCCUAGAAAUCAACCUAGAAAAAUAAAUCCAUCUAAUACCUGUAGUUGUCAGGAUUAAUGGCAAGUAGCUUCUUGUACAAAUUUUCAGCUUCUUCCAGACGUCCAAGCUUCACUAACAGAGAAACCUCUUGUUCCUUGUAAGACAAUUUGUCAACCUGAAAUGAGCAAGAGUGGUCAGUACUGCCGCUUCGAACUCUGUAUUUUUCUUUUUUGGUGGGACAAGAAACAAAAACUUCUUUUAAUGAGAAAUCAAACUUCCAACAUGAAAGUAUUUUUUUUCAAUAUCCGUGACUGUUCGAACCAGCUUAUGCGCACCUCAACUAAUCUCACAGAACAACCCACCUAACCUUAAUUCCUAGGUAGGUGGCCACCAUGAAUUGAACUCGUGACCUUUAGUUAAAAGCUAGAUAUAUAUAUAUAUGAUUUUUAUUUAAAAGAAAAAGGCCUGAAAUACUAAAGUAAUUCAAAAGUUACAAGAUACCAAACACCCAAAAAAAAAGGCCUAACAAGGCAUAAUUCCAUGUUUUAAAAAAUAAUACUACGCAAAACAAAUAAAAACACAAAAUGGGUAUAAAAAAUUCAGUCCUAACCCAUGUUAAGUGGAAAAAUUAGUUUAGAUAACCAAUGAGACGGAAUCGACAAAAUCAACUUACAAUUUUUGGCUCUUUCUUGUGCAACUCACCCAGAGCUCUUUCAAGAGAGCCACAUUCAUCCAGCAAAGAAAUCUGAAAGAAGAAUACAGAUGGGUUAUUGACCAAACUAAACUAGCUAAUAAAUACUGCCAACAAGGUUUAAUCUUGUGACAUGUAUAGAAACCUCAUCAAAGAACUACAAAAGCAAUUAUAACUUUGUUAAUAGAAAAGACAUGUAUAAAUAAAGAACAAACCUUAUACAAGAGCAUCUCUCCAUGCUCACAACGUUCACUCUCUGGUGGAUAAUCAUCUUCAAGCGUACCUUCGUAUGCUUCCAAAAUUUCAACUGCUUUUGAUGGACUAAAAGUGACCCAAAAAAUUUAAGCAGAAAACCGUGUGUUACUCUUUAAGUACACAAAAUAAUAAAUACUUGCGUCAAGUAAUCUGGCAACUGUUACAAAUAAAAACCCAGAAUAGUGAAAAAUCUACUUAAGGCUGGAUAGAACAAUGAAUUGUCUAACAUAUUAAAGUCACAAGGUUCUCAACUUCUUUAUCUAACAAAAACAGAAUUAAAACCAACCUCGAGAUGGGGUUUUGAAUAACCAUUUAAAAUGUAUAUUAUAUUUAUAUAUACACACCUAUUUUAUUUUUAUUUUUUUGAUGAAAAAACACAACUUUCAUUGAGAAAGAAUAAAAUAAUAAACGGGCACUGAGAAGUAAACCCACAAAAAGAAGGAAUCCCACAUUUGCGUAAUAGGCAUUUUUCCAUUCUCAGGAGCUCUCUGAGAACAUAUGUGAGCAUAAAAGGUUUCCCUGGCAUUGCUGGGGAUGGUGAUUAAAAAUACUCUUCCUUUUUCUGAAAGAAUAAUUUUUACAAUUCCAAAGUAGAGAAACCCAUUCGUACAUUGUAAUAUAAAUGGCUCAAAAUUCUGAAUAUCAUACUGUGAGGCUAUGCAAAAUAAUUGAUACAACUAUAAGACAUAAUUACAAGUCAAACAGAUAGAACUGUACUUUGAAUUUAAGUGAUGAGCAACAGAAAAUCCAAUCCAGUUCAUGCGAUGGUUUGGUUUCAACGUCAGAAGUUGUUGUCUCGUUUCAACAAAACCUUUCAAGUCUCUCAUUUGAGCCUGCAGCAUUAAAGGUAAGAAACAUGAGCAAAAAAAACCAUACCCCAAAAUAAAUGAAAUAGUAAGGAAAACAAUUGCGAAAGAAUAAAAGUCAUUAAAACUAGAUCAAAAUAAAGAUCACCCGCUAUCUAAUAAAUGGAUAUCCACAAAAAUAUACAAUUUCUCAGUUCCUAUCCUUUAACUUCCCUUUUAUGCACGUUCUAGACCAUGUAACUUAGCAAGAUAAAAUCUCUAAAUAAUUCAUACAAAGUGAAAUUAGAUGCAUUAAGAGGCCAAGACGAAAGAUAUGGAGAAAGGCUAAAAUAUCACUUACAUUAUAUCCUGAACAGACGCAAAAAAAUAGCAAAAUGAUAACAAUCCUAGAAGCAUCCCGAGGCUAUGUUCCCAGUGAAAAAGAUUCAUGAUGAAUGAUAAGUCAGUAUGAUCCAAUCCCUUGUUGCUCCAAUUUGUUGCAACUCCCAACUAGAAAUCUACUUUCCUCUUAAUGGACAAAGCUUGAGCACCCAUAUUAAACUCUUCUCUUCAUCUCUUCUCAUCACCGCCUAUCUAAUACUUUUUGUCAGCUUGGAGUUGGUGCAAAUUUUAGUUACUUCAACACAAAUAGGUGCUAUUCAUUCAGAAAUUGCAGUGCCUUCUAUGUCUAUGUCAGCACCAAGUGGAAGUCAGUGGUUAGACACAAAUUUUAGGAUAGAAAACUUCAAUGUUUGUUUCUCUCAGUGACCAAAAUUGCAUAUAGUUCAACGAAAAUUUUUACUUGAGCUAAUUAAAAGUCCUAUUGUCGGAGGCUUGGUACCGUUUGGUACUACUUAUACAAUAAAUGAACUUCCCUAAUAAUAACCUCAAUUAGAUCAUUAGUUCCAUUAAUGCCAGUCAGAAGCUCUUGUAAAUUAUAAUUGUUCGUAAUAGUAGCUCAACUUAAACUUUACAGAAAAACAAAUACUAUUACCAAGAUUCAGAAGUAACAAACGGAAUUUCAAUGUUGCACAAAUAUAAUGCAGAAAACCAUAGGCAAAAAUGAGAUAUGGUUCAAACCUGUAGAAGUGACAGGUCACGUAAAAUUUCAAUAUUGUCAGGAUCUAUUUUCAGGGCAUUUCUGUAACAUUUAAUUGCCUCCCUGUAUUCUCUAUCCGAGCGGUAUAAAAGACCAUAAACAUGCCAGCAAACAUGACUUUUGAGGUCAUUCUGCAUCAAAACAAUAACUCAGAUGAUCAGGAACUAUGAUACAAAUCGGCUACUAUAGAAACAAAGAAUCUCGAGUGCAAUGAAAAACACACAAACCUUCAAUCCUAAUCGAACAAGGUCAUAUGCUUCGGCCUUACGAUCCAUGCAAUUUAAUGUUAAACCCUUCAUGGAUAAAGUUUCUGAUAUCAUGGGGGAACAACAAUUAUUCGAGAUAGUAAAAAAGAUAAAAUACAAGAUAGUAAAUAGUACUCGUCCAAUAUCCAAUAUUUCGGCCCCGGGUGCUACAUACAAUUUCCACUUGAGUGUUGAUUAACCAAGAGUUAGAAUUACCUCCAUGUUCAGGAAACUUCUUCAAAAUUUGAUCAGCUGCUUUCAGGCCCUUCUUGUACUGUUUUGUUUCGUAUGAUUUCUACAACAAACAAAAAAAAAAAAAAAAAAAACACAAGACUCAAUUAGCCAUUGCAACAACACAGCUGUUGGAUAUCGUAACAACUAAAAAAAUAACCAAAUCACAUCAUAGUACUAACCACUGAAGUAGCAUACAACCCAAUUAUAAUAAAAACUAGCUUACAUAUUCCCUAUUUCGAAGGAAAUGAGAAUGUAAUCAAAUAAUGUUCGAAGUUUCCUUUAUUCUCCACAUUUCUUAAUGAAAUAACACAAACCCAGUACAAAGUUCAGUACAAAAACUAGGGUUUAUGUUCUAAUAAAAACAAAAGAAGAGAAAAGAAAAAAGAAGGGGGAGGCAAAAACAUUUCAGUUCGAUCGAAGUAUGAUUAAAGUGAUGAAGAUGAAGGGCAUAGAAAGCAAUCGAUGAACUUACGACGAUGAGCUUGAAGAGGUUAGCCUCCUUGGGUGGAAGUGACGCACCCAUUGCUGCAGAUAGUGGGAGAUGGGGAAGAGGAUGAGAGAGAGAGAGAGAGAGAGAGAGAUAAGAAAGGAGAGUGAAAAAGAAGUGAAAAGAGAAGAACUUUGAGGUUUGUAUGGUGUGAGCUUAUAGAGACAGGUGGGUUUGGAGUGGUGGCGUUUAUCUGCUGCAACCCUACGGGGAAGGAGAAGAUGAAAAAAUGUAUAAAAUCAAUCAAUUAAUUAAUUAAUAUUGACCGAAAGGAAAAAAAGAGAAAAAGAGGAAUUUUAGGGAAUAAGCAUUGAUUUGUAUUUCUUUUUGUAAUUUGUUGUAAUUUACAUCGCAAUGCGCGCGUGAACUUCCCCUACAAUAAUUUGUCUUUCAACUCUUUCCUUCUAUUUUCGUUGAGGUGAAAAUUCAAUAUUAAAGCUAAAUAAUCAUUUUUAAAAAUUACCAAAAAUAUAGCCUUUAACAAUAUAUUUAUAUUUAGUAACAAAAAAAACACAUUUGUUGUAAAUAAUUUGUUUAAGUUUUUUAUAAUAAUAAUAAUAAUAUGGUAGGGUGAUAUUUGCCAUUAUACUUUUAAUUUUUUAAAUAAAAAUUUGAGUACCAAAUUUAUCCAAAAAAAUUAAAAUAAGAUACUUAAAUUAUACUGAUUAUAUAGAUUUAAAAUUCAAUAUUUAGCAUUUAUAAACUUAAGGGCCCAUUUGUUAUUACUAAACAUUUGAGACUUAACGGCCCAUUUGUUACUAUUUUAAGAGGAGUGUUCAUAAAAUAUUGAAAAUCAAACCUAUUUGACAAACCAAACCGAAUCGAAAUCGAUUGCAUAUGAUUUGGUGUCGUUUGGUUUAAUAUUUUGAAUCGAUUCUAAAACCAAAUCAUAUUGCUUCUUUUAAACAAAUUUAAAUAAAUGUUCAUUUUGUUUCUAAAAUUUAGAUAAACAAGUUAACUCGGGAUCCAGUAAAAUCUAAAAUAUAGAGGAAAAUUUUAUAGGACUCAGUGUUUUGGUAGCUCGAGAUUGUUCAAGAUUUUAAACAUACAAAUUUUAUCAAACUUGAUGCUUUGAUAGCCCAAUAUUCUUCGAAACUUAAAACAUAAAGGCAAAGUUUCCAAAACUCGGUGCUUUAGUAGUCUAAGAUUGUUCAGAAUUUAGAAUAGAUAGGAAAACUUUUACCAAACUUGGUGCUUUCAUGGCUUAAUAUUGUUCAAUAUUUAAAACAGAAAGGCAAAUGUUAUCGAAUUCGAUGUGUUUGGUGUCCUGAUAUUCUAUGGGAUUUAAACCGAACCGCAUGUACUAUUCGAUUUUGAUUAGGUUUUACACACAUGUUUUGUUUCGUAUGAUAUUUUUUUACAUUUUGCGGUUCGAUGCAGUUUUAGCUUGAAACUAAAUUCAAUCGGACCGUGAACACCUCUAUAUUUUAAACAGCAAAUUGCCGAAAAUAUUUUUAAAUACAGCAUAAUGUUGUCAUUUAGUUACAAACACUGUUUUGUUACUUCGUUUAUCAUUAGUACAUAUAUUAGUUAUAAGUGAAAUUUGUAUUUGUAAAUGUUGUAAUAUGUUUUGUUAUAUUUUAAAACAACCAUAAUUUUUCUUAUCAAUGAACGCUUGCUCAGUUUUAAGAAUAUAAACUAACUUGUAUUGUACCAUAGAUGUUUUUUUUCCUUCUUGAUUGUAGUUCAAUACACUUAGUGAGAAAUGUGUGUUUGAGUUCCCAACUUCGAGUGGAUCGUGUGAGCUAUUGUACCUCAUGACAUAAUUCAUAUUGCUCCAAUAGUUAGUGUUUCAAACUAUUGUAACCUACAAACUAUCAUAUUGCUAUUUCACGUCACUUCUUGUUACAAUGUUCUCUACCCAUAUAGAAACAUAUUGCACUUAAUCAUAGACUAAUACAAUCCAUAUGAAAAUGUAUUGCGCCCAAAACACGUGCUAUGUUAAAUUCACAUUGUUACCACCCACAACCGAUGAUACAGUCAAACAAGUACUUCAAACACUCUUUAACAAUUAAAAAAAGAAAACCGAAUUCAACAAGCAUAAAAUUUGUCCUACCAACUUUAAUCAAAUCUCUAAUUUCACUCUACAAACUGUAGCAAUAACAAGAAUGUCCAUGCAAGUGGUGCACUUUAUAUAUUGUUGAACUAAAAACAUACACAAACAAAAACAAAUAAAAAUGACAUAGUUGUAUGGUUUUACACGUAAGACUACCAUGGUAUAUUAUACGUUUUCAAGUUUAAAUUUGAUAAAUUUAGUAUGCAUCAUACAAAAAACUACAACAUUCUUAUUUUAAUUUAUUUCAAAACGACAUGUGUGUAAUAUUAACUAUGUACAUUUUGUUUGAUAAUUUUCAUCUUAACCAUCAUCUAACUAUUAUAAUAUCUAAAUAUAUUGGAUUUUGUUGUACUAUGAAUGUACAGAUAAAAUAAAAAAUACAAUAGUUUACCGAAAGAUUUGUUUAACCAUCUACUUUCAAAGCUAAAAAUUUAGCCAAUAUAUGUCUAAAUCGUCUAAAACACAACUAGUUUAGUCAACUUUCUAUAUAAGAAAAGAAUAUUUACAUUCUUAUUUCAAUAAAGACUAACUUUUAAAUAACAAAAUUAUAAAAUUCCCAAGUCAUUCAAAUUAUUCUUUUAAGUUAAUAGACUAGAUAUUGGAAUAUACUGAUUUGUACACAAAUAAAACAAAACAAACAUGGAGUAGACUACAGUAGAAGGACGUAUAAAGUAAAUGGACUAAAACAUAUUUCAACUAAAAAAUAUUUUUGUUUAGACCCAGAAGUACUUUUUUGUUUUUUACCCAUUUGAAAAGAAAAGCAUCAAUUGCCAUCUUGCAACUUUUUAGAUGCAUAUAUAAGAAAACAAAUGUAAAGGAAAAGAAACUCCUUUUUAAAAAAUAGUUUGGGUUACUUCUAUUUUUAUUUUAAAAUUGUAAUAUGAUCUUUUUUCCUAAGAAAUAUAUGAAAAUUACAAUAUAUAAUUUUAUGGCAAAAAUAUAUCAGAGUAGCAAUUACAUUAACCAUAUCAAUAUUCUGAAAUUCUUAAAACAUAUUAGGGGAAACCAAAAAGUUCUGAUUUAUAUUUGUAUCCAAUUAUGAUAUUUUUUAUUUGCUUAUUUUCUGUUGUGAUAUUUGAAAUCAAGAAACAAACAAACAAUAUGAUUAAACAUACUAAUUUCAUAAAAGGGUGAAACCAAAAAUAGGAAAAAAGGUUCUCAUGACUCUAGAAAACCAUUGGGUUACUUUUUUUUUCUCUGAGUUAAACUAAGUUUAUUUGAGCAUAAAUAUUUUUGACAAGUUCUCUAAUUUGGAUGUAUAAGCUUAAAUUAUCCCUAAACUUUUAAAUUGUUUAAAACAACGCAUUAAAAGUAUUAAAAUACUAAAAAUGAAAUUGUAACUUCUCGCUCUAAAUUUGGUGAACCACCAUCGAUGAAUUUAUGUUGUAAUUUGAUAAAAAAACCAAUAUUUUGAUUGAGCAUUUUGAAUUAGAAUUGUAAUACAAAACUCAUUUGGUUUGGACACUUUCAAUUUGACUAUAUUUUCAAGUGUUUUCACGUUUUACGAACUUACUUACACUUCUAGAAUUCCUAGUAAUUUUCUAAUUGCAUUCCCGCUGUCCAAACACCACGAAAAGAUAGCAUUAUACAGCUACAAAAGGUUAACUAUUGAAUGUUCAAAUGUUUGAGAGCAAUUUUAAAAUCCCAAAAUCAAAAGUGAUUAUAAUAUUUUAGAACCACUCUCAAACAUGUCAAACAUGUCAAGUAAGCACGAGAAUAUAGAAUCAAUGGACCCAUUCUCACUUCUUUAGAUUAACACAAGCAUACUAUGGCAACAACGCAUACCAGCAAAAGCGUUUCUCUUUGUAAAUCUCAAAGGACCUAAACUAAGAAUUCUUACAAACUACUUUAUGGAAUGCCACGUCUAUCUCCUCCUCAGUCAUCUCAAUCGUGUCAUCACUAUCAUAUUCCUUUGUUUCAUGACCAUUCUUCGACUCUUUCUUGACAAUUCGCUUCUUCUUUCUUUCUGGGGAACUCUCAAGAAGAGAAUUAAGUUCUACUUCAUAAAUGCUUUUAGAAUCCGUGGCCUGCCUGCAAAGUUCCUCCUUUGAUAUCGACUCUUUCUUAUUGCUAAGCUUUGCCAGCUCUUCCACCACCUGGGGAACGAACUUCCAUUCUUCAGUCAUCUGAUUGAUGUCCUGCACAAGAAUUAAUUGUGUUUAAAGUGCCAAUCUAUAAGGCUGAGAGCAGAUACCUUUUCCAUUUCACGUUAAAUAAAAUAAAUGAACAAUGAAGCAUGCAAGCAUAUUGCGAGAAAGGCGAGAUAAUGAGAGAAGUGACAGUGGAAUAUUUGACAGGACGCUCGCAUGAACCUUGAAGGAACAAAAUCCAGCACCAGUUGAACUCAAAAUUAUUCCCAGCCAAUAGAAAUUCGUGAUAAAAUGGUUCUCAUGCUAAGUUGCAACUGUCAGGGGUUGAAAUGCCUGAUCAUUCACAGUAUAGCUGAUUGGUCGGUAAUAUCAUCUGUUUUCUCACACUAGCGAGACACCGAGACCAUUUAGAAAAUCUCAAUAACAUACAUUGAUGUUUUUUUUACACGUUAUCUUAUAGUUAGGCAAACAUUUAGUAGCACAGUGAGUGCAAAGGAGAAAUAGAUAGAUCAUAAAUACAUAAAUAGGAAAAAACUGUCUACCUGAUUUUGAUGAAGAGAAUCUAUGGCAUCUUGUAAACAAGUUAAAAUUCCUUCUGCUGCUAUUUUCUUUAUCUCACUUGGAUCUGGCUACAAAGGUUAAAAAUAAGAAUUAAAAUCAACGAAGUCUCACAAUCUAUCCAAAUUUGAAGUGUGAAAAACCAAAGAGCCCAUACAUUCCUAAGAACCAACCAAGGGAUUGAGAGAAGAUUCCAGGUUGCCAUUGAACUCAAUUGGGGUACUUUGUGCUUGAAGUAAAAUCUAUACAUUGCAUAAAACAGAAAAGCAUGUGUGUUACCUUCUCUUCUUGACUCUCUAGCCAAGAAAGUGUCUUAUGGUAAUCAUCAAUAGCCCAUUUCUUUAAUUUCGAAGGAGAAAAGCAGUCUCUUGAAAAAUUACUCCGUCUACUCUGGAUAUCUCGCACAAUCAAUGGUAUAAAUAGCCAUAUAUCAGCAUUUGUAUGUAUAUGAAUAUAAAAGAUGUAGCCGAACAAUAACCAGCAUCCCACAAAAGGUCAAUUUUGUUUUGUUACGUCCCAUAUAAAGCAUACAAAUACUAAUCAGAAUGGAAAGACAAAGACGAUAUAAUGGAAUAUAAUUUCAAAAGAAUUAGACUAUUUACCUGAGCUAUCUCCGGCUCAUGUGGUUUUAAAUGUGAAGUUUUUUCAACCACUCUCUGAGGUUUCUUGGAUGGUGAUGGAAUAUCUGCAACCAUAGACCCCAGGAUGAAAAUGGAUGAUGGGAAAUUAAAAAAUGAUUCUUCGGCAUAUCAGGUACAAGGUGAAGGAACGAAAGGUAUCAAAACAUUGAAAAAAUCAGGAAAACAACGAAAUGAUAGUUACAAGACUUCAAGUGUCCAACGCCAUGACACCAACCAAAAAAGUGGGUGUGGGGGGGUGGGGGAGGAAUUUUCUUUGGUUUGCAACUGUAGAAGCCAAAGAUUCAAACUGCCAAGGAUAUUUUGCCAAGGCAUCAAGUUCUCACUCAGGGAGAGGAAAUUUACUCAUCAGAUUCUCUUUUUGGGUCAUUAGAUGAUUAAAGGUGUCUUUCUCUGGGUAUAGUAAGCUCCCGUGUUUUUUUAUGGGCCUACUUUUUCUCCUUUAUUUGGCUGACUUCAAUAGUUGGCUUCUGUUUCUUUCUUUCUUUCUUUCUUCUCUCCUAUCUUUUUGUUUUUUGUUAUUUUUUUAAAAUCACUUUCUCAUAGAGUUUUGUUUUGGGGUUCUUUGUUGGAGGCUUGGAGCCUUGUUCUUGAGGGCUGCCGAACCUGGAUCAUUUCACUUGAUGGCUCAUUGCUUCUGAUUUUCUUUGUCUUUUUUGGUUGCAAUGCUCUAGUUGAGGUUGUUUGUUUCAUUUUUCUUUCCUUUUCCUCCUCACUCCAUCGGGAGUUUGUUUCCUGAACAUUUCCUUAUCAUAUUAUGAACGAAAUGUUUCUGGUUCAGAAAAGAGCACAACACAGUAAAUAAUAUACUGGGGGAAAAACACUUCACUACUAAUUGUUUUUUAGGGUUUUGAUGUAAGGCAGUGAAAAUAAGAACCAUAUUUUACUUAGUUAUAGAAUCAUUUACAAAUGCUAGAAUGGGGUUUUUAAGGAACUUAACCUUGGUGUAUGGUAGAUUCUCUAGUCAUGAACCUUCGCUAACUCCUUUGUGGCUUCUACAGAAAUCUAAGUUUUCAUGGCUUUGUGUGGUAAAAACACUUCAGAAUGUUCAGUAGAAAAGGAAUUAAAGAACAUUUUGAAGGAAUGAGUAAGGUUGGGAGAAUAUUUUUAUUUGGAAAAAAGAUUAAAUUCUAUGUCGUUUUGGUUUACUCUCUCUUCCUCUCAAGUAAUAAUAACACCUUUCUCAUUGUAGCCAAUUGGUGUGGCUUUUGUAACCUCCUAUAAUUUGUAUAUCUCUUUGUAUUUUUCAUAUGAUCACUAAGAAGUUUGUUUCUUCUAAAGUUGGUCAAUCGAAAACAAUGCACCAUAGUUUGACUAUAGUUCUAUGACUACUGUGUCAGCUGUGGCCAUGGUGGUUUUGAGUCUUGUGACUAACAUUAACAUUCAGUGGAACUACAGCCAUGGAAACAUAAUUAUUUUUAGAUCACCUUGGGUGGCUUCACGUGAAAGAUCGCAUCUUCUCCAAGGUUUUCCAGCAUAGAGGAGGUAGCUUUCAAUGUCAACAAGCCUCUUCUGUGCAUAACAUUCUGAAAUCCACUCCUAAGAAAGAAGACAGAAUGAGAGCACUUAGAACCUAAAUCAACGAUUUAGAAUCCCCGUAUCAGUGACAAUCAGAUAUGAUACAGUCAGAUUUUAGACUUGAUUUCUAGAUACAUCUAGGAGAAAAUGUGCCGAUAUUGAUAUGCUUGAAAGAGAGCAAUAUGAUAUAACAUGCUUAAUGAAGAAUAAAACUUGUUAAUUUUCAUGAUCCAAGAAAAAGAAACCAUGACAAAAGCAAGACUGAGAAUAUUUCAAAUAAACCACAAUGUUCAGAACCUACUAAAAUAAGCAGAAAAUUUAUUUCAUAUCAUCAACAUGGUUGAAUAAUUGACACCAAACAUACAGCUAUCAAGUUUUCCCUUUAAUCAAAUCUAGCAUCAGAAAAAAUUUUAGCAACCAACUCUCCGAUUCCUACAUAUCAAAGCCAACACAUUUUUUCUUUGUAACAAUAUCUGGUUAAUGCUCAAGUUUUUGUACAAAGAAAAAACCUUUGAUACUAUGGUUCCACAAUCUGACUCCACUUGCCGAAAUUUUGGGGUAUUUGGGAAAGCACAGAUCAACAAAGUGCAAUCUGAGUUCCAAUCAGGUUUAUAUUGAGCUCCCAUUUCUAAAGCUUGAGAUCGCAAAAUGCUACGCUCAGGAUUAACAAAACCUGACAACACGAAAACUACUCCUUCCUGCAUUUAACGUUGGCCUUUUAGUUUAGUGCGACUGUCAACUAUCAAAAUAUGUAAAAAUAGCAGGUAAAAGGAAGACAAUGGGUGAAAAGAGACAAUAUGUAAACCAGAAGUCUGGAGAAAUCAUGGUGUAAUGAACUGCUCACUGGACCUUCACCAUUUCCCUUCUCUUGCUUAGGCUCUUCAGCUUCGACCAUCAAAUCAUUUCCAACAGAAGCAGAACUGUUUGGUUUCUUGCCUCGAGACGUACUUCCAUCGUCCUUCCCACUCAUCCAUGAAGGAAGACUGCGCUUAGCACUGCCGCCACCCUCAUUGGCCUUUGAAUUUGACAUAUCGCUCCUGCUAAAGCGAUUCACUUUCUACUACCAGGCUGAAAUUUGUCAGCUCAUCUCAAAUGCAAUGAAGACUUGCAUGAAAACUCUAAAGACACCCGUUCUCAAAGCACUAAAGAGGUGCGAGUAAGAGCCUACAAAGAUUAUGGACGCUGUUUUACAAUACUGAAACAACUUCAAAUUAUUGCCAGGUGACACAAACAUAGAAUCAAAAUGCACUAGUUACAAAACCUAACCAAACCUAAACGAGUUCAUGUCAAUUUCAUCUCAUCAAUUCUCAAUACCCGAUCGAACUUGAAAAACUAAUGUUGCCACUUCAUAUCAAGAUAAUUACGAAUAAUAAUAGAAAAUUAACACAACAUUUGGUAGCGAACCGACAGGAAAAUGGAAGGUAUUAAGCUCAACGAGGUCAAAACAUAUUAAGCAGUGCAUUAAGUUUGAUAUGCAGUCGCCAAGCUGAAGUGAAAUUUGACCACUGGCAUUACAGCGUAUCGUGAUCGGGUAGGUUAGCAAGAAACCGGCAAAGAUUGUAGGAAGAUGAUGAUUGAAAUUAGAAACGAAACGAUACCUGAAUUUUACUUCCAGUGAGUUGAUUCGAAAGGUUCAGAGUCGAUUCAAGAAGUCAGCACAUAGCCCGCGAUUGCAACCUUCCCAUAUUUCCACCGUUCAGAGUUAUAGAAACUGUUAGAUUUACUCUUCAAUCCCUUCAAUUUCAUUAAUUUGUAUCUUUGGUAAGUUUUUUUCCUUUUUAGUUUUUAGUGAGAAAUAUUAUGCUCAACAUUUGUAACUUUAACAAAGUUAUAAAAAAAAAGUAAUAUUUUUUGUAAUUAAUGAUAAAUAUUAAUAUCCUAUAAAAAAAACGUUUUAGAUUAUAAAAUUGAUUAUUGUAAUUUUAAAAUUAUUAUAGUAGGACUAUGUUAAUUUUAGUUUACGUUUGAGUUUAUAUUAAUUUAGUUUGUAUUAGAAUAGUAUAUAUUUGAAAACAAUUUUUUUUUAGUUAAAAAAAAUAGUAAACAUGUUGUUAUAUACUAAAAAAUAAUGAUAAAAAAUUAAUGAACUUAAAAUAGUCAAAACAAUAACGAAUAAAUAUAGUAGGAAAUAAGAAUUUUGAAUCGCAACAAACACAAUUUCAUUGAAAUAAGUUGGCUAAAAGGAGAAAGAUGAAAGUUUUGAAGGACCUCAUCUGCAAAACAAUAAAAAUUUGAACGGAAAAAAACAAUACGAGUUUUCGCGCUUUGGUUCACUCUUUCGAAUUUGGAGUUGUUCUAGGGUUCGGUUCAAACGUUGGAGAUGAUAACAAUGGCGAACGAAGAAGCUCGACACUCCGAUGUUAUCGAUCCUCUUGCUGCUUAUUCUGGUAUCAAUCUUUUUUCGACCGCAUUUGGUACUUUGCCGGAUCCGUCAAAGCCACAUGAUCUUGGAACAGACCUCGACGGCAUCCACAAGCGCCUCAAAUCCAUGGUAUUACUAUCUUUCCAUAGUCGUUGCAUAUGAUGCUUCCAUUUUACUGAUUUAUUUGGUUUACAGUGCUUCCUGCUUGCUCCAAGAGCUCCGCCGGCCAUUCAAUCGCCGGUGUUUUUUCUUAUUUUUUUUUUAAAAUUUCUGCAUGUUUUGAGGAUGAAUUGGAAUCCGUAUACUGUUCCCACGUUGUUAGUAAGUAUGCCAGCGUGCGACAUGGUUUUCCUUCUUAGUCGUGACGAUUUAGCUCAAUGGUUGAAUUGGAGACUCGGGUUUCUUGUUACUGUGAAAAUUUGGGGAAGUGAAAUGCUCUUGGCUUUGAAUUUAAUGGUUUCUUCUUAACUUAAACCCAAACGUCCUGCCUACUUUGGUUUUUAUUUGUAAUAUCUGGGUAGUUCACUUGGUUUGUGAACUUAGAUUUGAGAUACUUCCUGGCGUGAUGUUUAGUUCGUCGGUUUGAGACGGGGCUGGGUUCUUAAGAAUAUCGAUGCAAGAGUGAUUGAAAUUACAACUUCUUAUGGUGUUAGUGUGGUACAGCCUUGUUUAUCAUUCUUCCUAUCCCAUCUCAUCCCCAUUUUCUCAUCAUCUUGGCUCCUCAAGAUGCAUUUUGUAUCUAUUUCUACUUUUGGUUUAACUAACGACCAACGACUCUCUUCUAAAUAUGUCAGGUGUUAAGGAGUCCCAGUAAACUAUUAGAACAGGCCAGAUCAAUUUUAGAUGGCAACUCAAAUUCGAUGAUAUCUGAAGCUGCCACAUUUCUUGUGAAGAAUGAGAAAAAUGAGGAAGCUACAGUGAAGGCAGAGGAAAAUCUUCAAGAAAGAAGGCCGGCCUUAAACCGAAAGCGGGCUAGGUUUUCUUUAAAACCCGAUGCUAGGUAAUGCUUUUAAUAGUGAAAUUUUCCUACUCUUUCAAGAACAAAAUUAACAUUCUGGCCAACUUUUAUGAGAUCUUCUUUUUAUAGGCAACCUCCUGUGAACUUGGAACCAACAUUUGACAUCAAACAAUUGAAAGACCCCGAGGAGUUCUUUUUGGCCUAUGAAAAGCAUGAAAGUAAGUUGUUCUUAUGCUUCUUUUUUCACUCAAAUUUCAAAUAAUAUAGACUUGUGUCAAUAUUAUCUUCCCAUUUUGCAAUUGGUCCAUAGAUGCCAAAAAAGAAAUCCAGAAGCAGACGGGAGCAGUUUUAAAGGACUUGAACCAACAAAAUCCGUCGACGAAUACACGCCAGCGUAGACCGGGGAUUCUUGGGUAUAAUCACUUAUAUGUUAUAUUAUUAACAAAGUUUUGUACCUUUUCCUUUUUGUGUCACGUUUUCUUGUGGUUGACAGUCCAAAAUCUUCUCGUGCAUGUAGAAGAUCUGUUAGAUACAAGCAUCAAUAUUCAUCAAUAGCAACUGAAGAUGAUCAGAAUGUAGAUCCUUCUCAAGUGACAUUUGAUUCAGGCAUUUUCAGUCCAUUGAAAUUGGGCACAGAAACACACCCAAGUCCACAUAUAAUUGACUCAGAAAAGAAAACUGAUGAAGAUGUAGCCUUUGAGGAGGAGGAGGAGGAGGAGGAGCUCGUUGGUAGGUAUUUUAUUAUAGAGAUUAGAGAUCAAAAUGCAACUUUUUGCAUGCAUCAUGGUUCAGUUGAUUUUAUCUAUCUCACAUGCUGCCGUCCUUUUCCUCUCUUCUUUUUCAUUUCUCACUGUCCCUGUUAAAACUAAUGGUGGUUUGCAUGGACCUCUUUGACCCUUUUUUCCUUUUCCCUUUUAGCUUCAGCUACGAAGGCAGAGAACAGAAUAAAUGAUAUUUUGAAUGAAUUUCUCUCUGGUAAUUGUGAAGAUCUAGAAGGUGAUCGAGCCAUCAACAUAUUACAGGAGCGCUUGCAGAUUAAACCUCUUACUUUAGAGAAAUUAUGCCUUCCAGAUUUAGAAGCCAUUCCAACAAUGAAUUUGAAAUCUUCAAGAAGCAAUCUAUCAAAGCGUAGUUUGAUCAGUGUGGACAAUCAGUUACAAAAGAUAGAAAUUUUGAAAUCUAAGCAGGACAAUGUAAAUUUGGUUAAUCCUGUUUCUACACCAUCAUCAAUGAGAAGUCCAUUGGCAUCGUUAUCAGCACUAAAUAGACGGAUUUCACUUUCAAAUUCAUCAAGUGAUUCAUUUUCAGCUCAUGGCAUUGACCAAUCUCCAUCAAGAGAUCCUUACCUUUUUGAACUCGGUAAUCACUUAUCUGAUGCAGUUGGUAAUACAGAGCAGUCAAGCGUUUCUAAGUUGAAGCCACUUUUAACCAGAGAUGGUGGGACUGUAGCAAAUGGAAUUAAACCAUCCAAAAUUCUUUCUGGAGAUGAUUCCAUGUCUAAUAUAUCUUCAAGUAAUAUUUUAAAUGUACCCCAAGUUGGGGGCAAUACUGCUUUAAGUGGAACUUAUGCCAGCACGGAGGCUAAAAAUGUUAGUGUCAGCAGCACAGACGUGGAAAUAAAUGAGAAAUUGAGUUGUCUUGAAGCCCAAGCAGAUGCGGUGGCUAAUAUGCAGAUUGAAGAUCACGAAGGAUCAGCUUCUGAGCAACCAAAAUUAUCUGAGGUGGAUCUAAUCAAAGAGUACCCGGUUGGCAUUCGGAGUCAGUUGGGUAUGAUCUUCAAUGCCAGUAUCAUUAGUUACUAGCUGAUAAUUUCUUUUAUUGUCAUGUAAAUAGGAAAUUAAAGCCCAACAUUAUGUUACUGCCAAGUGCUCAUUUUAGCACGUUUGAUGGUUGAACUUUUUUUCUUUUUUGAUAAAUUUUGAACACAUAUGUUUUACUUUUACUAAAUAUAUCUGAGAAAUAAUAGAUAACUUAAUGAGAAAUACAUCUCGGAUAUUUAACUAAAUUUUAGUAGUUGAAGUGUACCAUUUAAUGCUUCACAUUUUGAAGAAACCCUAUAAUUAAUAUUUUGUUUCUCUGAAUGAAAAGACACAUUCCAAUUUUUUUCAGUCAUGUCAUAGUUCUGAAUUGGCUUAAGCUUUCUCCUAUGAAAAUCCAUUUCCUUUCUUCAUGGAUUUAGCUGUGCUUAUUUGUACUUGUAUUUUACAUUGAAAAAGCAGAAAUUUAUUCAUGUUUGCUUAUCAAUUCCUAGUAGAUAUUGAUGAUUUCAGGCUCUGUUCUUUGUUUUUUAACAGAUCAAUCAGCUGCUACUUGUACUGAAAAUAUUGUUGAUGGGUCAUCUAGAAGCAGUGGUACAGAACACCGCGAUGAGGUUUUUGACCUUUUCUUCUUUAUCAUUUGGGCCUUUAUUUCCAGUAGCUCAUGAUUGAUGACUCUGAGUUCUUUGUCAAAUUGUGGUAUUUGUUAUAGAUGAAGCUUUGCAGAUUAUGUUUUACAAAAAAAAAAGCGUUAUUGGGGUUAUCAUUGUUAAAAGGAAGUGUUCUCAGUUUCAUUAAUCAUUUUGUCGGGCAUAUAUUAGUAACUAAUGGUAAACGCUGAUAAUAUGCAGAUGGAAGAUCAUGAAGGAUCAGCUUCUGAGCAACCAAAGUCAUCUAAGGUGGAUGUGAUUAAAGAGUACCCAGUAGCCAUUCAGAGUCAGUUGGGUAUGAUCUUCAAUACCAGAAUCAUUAGUUACUAGCUGCUAAUUUCUUGUAUCAUCAUGUAAAUAGGAAAUUAAAACCUAACAUUAUAUAUUUAUGUUACUGGCUUCAGCUGUAUGCUCAUUUUUGUGUGUGAAUUUUGGACAUGUAUAUUUUUGUUUCAUGAUAGUUAACUAAAUUUUAGUAGUUGAAGCGUACCAUAUUUUGAAGGAACUCUGUUUGAUAUAUAAAUAAACUUGCAUUCACCCAUUUGCAUAAGCUUUUGGGUCAAUCGGUGAUUUAACAUGUUGUCGGACCUCGUGGUCCAGGAAGGUCCCAUAUUCAAACUCCUGCAAUGCUAUUUUCUCACCAUUUAAGAUUGAUUUUCACUUGUUGGACCUUCGGCUCACAAGUGAGGGAGAGUGGUAGAUGAUAUAUAAUUAAAUUUGCCUUCAUCUAUUGGCUCAAGUUUUUGGGUCAAUUGAUGAUUUAACAAAUCCUGUAUUUAAUAUUUGUUUCUCUGAAUGCAUAGGUAGAUUUCAAUAUUUUUCAGUCUUGCCAUUUUUCUGAAUUGGCUUCAGCUUUCUCAUAUGAAGACCCAUUUCCUCUCUUCAUAGAUUCAACUGCUUAUUUUCACUCCUAUUUUUAUGUUGAGAAAGCAGAAAUUUGUUCAUGUUUGCUUAUCAUUUCCCAGUAGAUGGACUAGAUGAUUUCAGGCUGUGUUCUUUGUUUUUAACAGAUCAAUCAACUACUACUACUUGUGCUGAAAAUAUUGCCGAUGGGGCAUCUAGAAGCAGUGGAACGGAUCACCAUGAUGGGGUUUUUGACCUUUUCUUCUUUUCUUUUUUCUCAUUAAUCAUUUUGUCUGGCAUGUGUUCGUUUCAUUAUUCUCACAAUUACUAUUAUUGUAUGUUGACCAUUGCUUGACUACCUGUGCUAUAUUUUGUUAACGGUAUAUUGCCAUCUACAAUUUUAAAUUGGGAGUAGCCUACCAUCUCCACUCAGCUUCCUCUCUGUACAUAAUAAUAAGGUAGAAAUAAGUCAAUUAAUUUACUCUGCUACCCCAGGAAAGAAAGAAAAUGAUGAGAGUCCGCCAGUUGUUAACUCUACUUGUUUACUAGAACAUGGUUAUUUCUGGUUUUUACUUUUGAGAGACGAUCAAGGAUUUUUUUUUUGGUUGCUGAUGUAGGAACAGGUCAAGCCAAAAUCUCGUGCAAACAAACAACACAAAGGCAAAAAGAUUUCUCGGAGGCAAAGCCUUGCAGGUGAUUAGCCGUAAAUUUAACCAAUAAUUAAUCUUUAUAGUAUUUAGAUUUUCCUUUUUAAAAUACUUCGUUAUCUACCAAUCUUCCUAGGUGCUGGUACAACGUGGCAAAGUGGGGUGAGAAGAAGUACCAGGUUCAAAACACGACCCUUGGAGUACUGGAAAGGUGAAAGGCUGUUGUACGGACGUGUACAUGAGAGUAAGUGAACAUCGGAAGAAAUCCCUUUUAACAAUUCCACACUUAUAUAUGUUUUGGACUGAUAAUGUUUUGUUUCAAAUCAAGCGAAAACUUUUUAAAUUGGUAUAAUAAUAAUGAGAAGCAUUCCUUCUAUCUUAUACUCCACGAUUCUCUUUUUUCACGUGCUUGUAAAUUAAUUACCGGAUCAUUUUUGUUAGGCCUGACGACAGUAAUUGGGUUGAAGUAUGUGUCUCCAGCAAAAGGAAAUGGCAAACCAACCAUGAAGGUGAAGUCUCUAGUCUCCAAUGAGUACAAAGAUCUCGUCGAGUUAGCAGCCCUUCACUGAGAGUCAUCUACUAAAAGGAACAAAAAGCCUUGAAGCUUCUUAGAUUUUGCAUGUAUAACAACAAGCAAUUCCCUUUGAAUACAAACAACAUCCAGUCUCUUUGUAAAAACUGUAGAGGAGAAUUAGGCUUAUGACAUUGCAUUGUAUAUUUCUAAGCCUUUUCUCUAUCAUAUAUAUAUCUAUCAAGCUGUUUCGCUUGUGUAUUUGAGCUCAUGUACUUUGUCAUAAGAUUUCAUAUUUUACCCAUUGACAACUAGCUUUCUGUACCAAUUUUCUAGAAUGAGUUGUAAUCCUUGGGUGAAUUUGUUUGACGCUCACUCUUUCUUUUUGUCUCGGGGCGAAGGCAACUAGUUUUGUACUAUAACAUUGUAGGUCGCCUGAUGUGUAUGUCUAUACAAUAUCAUUAAUUCGUCCCAAACACUAAUAUCAAACUUUUAUAAAUUAGAAACAUUACAAAUAUAGCAAUCAUAGUCAAACUGUAUAAUGUACAGUAAUAACCUUUAGCAAAAUCUGUCGAGUCUAUCAGUGAUUGUCAAUGAUAGAUAACAUUACAAAUAUUGGUACACUAAAUUACUAACCAUUAUAAUUACCCUAUCUUAUUUCUUCAGGUUGAACACCCUCUUACAUUCUCUUACAUUGCAUAAGAUUGAAGUGAACUAUUGAAAUUUGGUUAAUAUAUUUGGUUUAAAGCUGUCAAAUGUUAGAUAUAAUUUAUUCUAUUGGGACCUUUUGUAUUGUAGUAUGCUGUACUAAUCGAUCUCCAUCCUAUUUAGAUUUUUAAGCUAACCAUUCUAAAACAAAAUGAUAGUAAUUUGACUAAGUUUUGUGAAUUCCUAAACUAUUUAUUGAUUGGGGAUUGCUCAAAACUUUAUUGAAACUUGAUAGUAGAUAUUCAAAUUAAUUUUGUUUUAAAAGUGGAAGGGCCAUCUAAAACAUUCUCUGAAUUCAUCUUCUAAGAUUGAAAAAUACUAAAGUAUUACAAAAUCAAGUUGUAGCUUAUAAAUGGAGUAUAUAUGGGAUUAGCUCUACUGCAUGUUUUACAUUUCUUGAACAUCAGCACAGAAAAUCACAACAUAUUUACCAAACUUUUUUUUUUUUUCUUUCUUUUUGUUGUUGCCUUUCUGACUCAAGCAAUCAGACACUCCCACGUAAAUAAAUAAAAAAAGAAAAAAGGAAGAGGGGAGAGAGAGAGAGAGAGAGAGAGAGAGAGAGAGAGAAUAUAAGGAACACACAUUGAAUGCAGAUUAACCUAUCCAAACUCAGCCAAGUAGCCAAUUUGAAUCUUCAUAUGACGUAUGCUAUAAGGCCCUUCAAAUUUUGAAAUCAUCUACCAUUGAGAUUAGAAAAAUGAGCAAACAUUGCACUUCCUGAAUGAUCAUCAAUGGCUUGAACCUCUGCUGGUUGCCUAUUCUGUUCUGGCUGCACGACAGAGCGGUUGUCGGAGUUCGAUGCAUUUGUCGAAGCUUCGACAGCGGGAGGUGUGGCCGGGGUGACAGUUGCCGUCGUACUUGCAGCUUUGUUUUCGUCUUCAGUUUUGCCUUGUGAGAAAGCUUCUUGUAGUUGUAAUGCAUACUCCAAAUUCCACAAUACAUCCCCCAUGCUUGGCCUGUCUACACCAUGUUCAGCUAGACAUUUCUCUGAUGCUUCUGCAAACUUUUUCAUGGACUCAGGAUUUAUAGCUCCAACUAGAAGUGGAUCCAUUAUCUUUUCCAAACACCCUUUUUUCUUACACUGCAUUGCCCAAUCAGCUAAGUUCACUUGUUCUCUUGUCAAAGAUGGGUUGAUUGCUGGCCUUGCACACAAAGCCUCAAGCAGAACAACUCCAAAGGAAUAAACAUCUGAUUUUUCUGUUAACUGUUGUCUCCUAAAGUACUCUGGAUCCAAAUAUCCAAAACUUCCUUUCACUGCUGUACUGACAUGUCCUUGCCCCAUUGGAGCAUCCUUCGACAAUCCGAAAUCGGCAACUUUCGCGGUGAAGUUUUCGUCGAGUAAAAUGUUGGUUGUUUUGACGUCACGGUGAAUGAUUCCUUGUGCUGUUCCUGUGUGCAGGUAAUGGAGACCUCGAGCUGCCCCGAUACAAAUCUCCAGCCUUUGCUUCCAUGACAAUGGAGAUAUGUCCUUUCCAUAUAAGUGAUCUCUGAAUGGACCAUUUGACAUGAACUCAUAUACCAAGAUCAUUUCAGCAUUUUCAUCACAGUACCCAAUCAAAGAAACCAAAUGCCUAUGUCUAAGUUUUGAAAGCAUUUGAAUUUCUGUUUGGAAUUCUGUUAUGCCUUGUUCAGAUUGUGGAUUUCCUCUCUUAACUGCUACUUUAGUCCCUUCAUCAAUCACUCCAAGGUACACAUUUCCAAACCCACCAACACCAAUUAUUGAAUUGGGAUCAAAGUUCUUGGUGGCUUCUUGAAGUUCUGCCAAAGUAAAGAACCUACCAAGGCCUAAAGUAGAGGAAUAAAUGUUGGUCUUAUGUGAUCCAUAUGAAGUCUUGCUUGUCAUAAAGCUUGAAUCACCAGCAUGUACAGGAAGCAACCAAGAAGAGAAACUGUUCCUCUUCUGCCAAUCCUGAGGCCUUUUAUGCCAUUUCAUCACCAUCGCGCCGAGCCCAACAAACGCUCCAAACAUCAUUGCAAACCCAACGGCAGCAACUGUCCCACGGUUAGAUCCAUUUGCAGACUUACCAUCCACUCCAAACUCUCCAUCCAAACUAUUAACAGAGUUGCUUAUUUUCAAUACCUCUAUACCAUUUAGAAUGGCAUUCGAAUCACCGGUAUCGACAUUAGCCGGACUAAUUUGAACUGUCAGUCCAUCUACAAUCAAGGAAGCAUUAACCACAACAUCCUUGUAAUAUGCAGUUGCCAAACUUCCUAGCUUGUGUGACAAAUCCAAGUUGGUUAUAGCAGCUUUCCCAUUUACAUAAACAUUGAAAUAGAUAUCAUUGAGUACUUUGCUGACAAUAUCACAAAAAUGGAAGCGAACUAGAUACCCAAAUGAGGGAUCUGCUUCAAAUUUCCACGUGAUAUUGAAAUUUGGUACACUAACUUGAGCAUCUCCCAUUUGAACUGCACUUGCAUACACACUUGGAGGAGCAAUUAACAUGCCUGUUUCUUUCAAUCCUCCUUGGUAUUUGAUGCUAUUAGUCUGAACAACCACACUACUACCAGCAGCUUUCGGUGUCCUAUAAACUUCAUCUGUCUCCCAUGUUCUCCCAAGAGUGUCAUUUCUUGGAGUAAUUAUAGGACCUCCCAUGUUUAACCUAUACAGUGUCUGAAAUGCAUAUUUUGACAGGCCCUCAAUAGUUCCAACUGGAGACAACUCCACGUUGGAAUCGGCAAUCAAGUCCACAGGAGCCGAGACGACCUCGAUGGCGUUGAUGAAAGCAGCUGAAUUCCUCAUAGGCAAGAACUUGAUUGAGAGUUUUGGUUCAGUGAUAUUGAGGAGAAACUCCUUGAGAACAAAUGUGGAUUCAUUGUUGAUGUUAAAGCUAUGAAGCAACACAUAAUUUUCAGUAGCUACUGAAAAUUUGGCUUGCAAGAGAUCAAAGUCAUUGCUUUUAACAGGAAGGAAAUGUAGGCGUAGCCAAUGCCAUCCAGGCUCUGCCAUUUGAAAAAUGUAAGUAGCUUCUUGGAGGAAGACUCUGGCUGUCAAAUCGACUGGCGACGGUGCCUUCAUCUCCGGCGUAGCGGUUGCUAUAAUGUCAUCCUUGGCAUCUAAGUAUUGCUUGGAUUGCUCAUCAGUUUUGAAAACUCUCCCAUCAGGGAGUGCACCAACUUCCUUGUUGGCACCACAGUCAAUGAGAAAAUUAUCUUUGGGAAUGAAGGAAGCGCCGGGGCCGGUAGCAAAUGCGAUGUUUGGACAGUUAAAAAUGAAACAGAGAAAAACCAGGAGGAUAGCCAUCGAAGAAGAUGACAUUAAUGGAGAGGAGAUAGUCGAAGUUCUCUUCUUUUCUUUAAUCUCCAUUCCCUCCUGGGUGAGGAGGUCUGAAUCAAAAAAGAAAAGAAAAACAAAACAAAGCUAAGAAUUUCUAAAAAGAGUUUGUGUAUUAUGCCUUUUUCCUAAACCAGUUGGUUAUUUUUAUCCAUCUUUUUUAAAUGGAUGAGAUGUAGCUUUGAAUCAUUUCUCAACAAUAUUCAGCCAAGAAUUGGUUGUCCCAACAAUUUUGGCCCACUGAAAUUCUUGUUGGUUUUUGGCCAAUUCCUUUUUUUAGCUUUCACUAUCCAAAUCACAAGUAGCUCACAUUUGAAAUAGUCAAAAUGCCAUCACUUUUGUGGUUCGCCAUUCACCUCUUCGUAGUUUUUUGCAUUAUAAAUUCACUUUCAUAAGUUAUCUUUUUUCCAAAUAUUUUUAGUAUAAGACUGUCAAUUGCAUAGUAUAAGACAUACAGCAUAAUGAAGGUCCAAUUUUGUGGGGGAAUUAGUUUGUUGAAAGAGUACAUAUAUAUCAAACAACUAAAAUCUUUUUUUAUUUUAUUUAAUCUAUUGAAUAAUGAGAUUUAUAUUUGGAUGGACAUAUCAAACUCUAAACUAAAUAUUUCAAAACCAAACCAAAAGCCACCAGCACUCAUUACAUGCAAAAAUGGAAGUUUUUUACACUGUUAGAGUCAAAUAGGGGUACGAAAGUCAUAUUUUGUUCAAAGGACUUUUCUUUUUUUAACAAACUGAGGUACUGAGUUAUACUCAGGACUUCAUAAAAAAAAAAAAAGUUAUUUGUAUCUAUAAUGUAUUGACAUAUUGAUUAAUUGAAAUUCUUAGAGAAAACAUAACAUUCUUGAAAGUGCUCCCAUUAAAUUUCAUAACCAUAUAUUGUAAUCCUUUGAUUGAAGUAUCAUUCAUCAUGUUGUAGUGUCAUCGGAAUAUAGUUGAUUCUUUUGCCAUUAAACCUUUUUAGAUCUCAUUUAUUUCAAAAAAGAAAAAAAAAAAAGUUUUUUUAGUUCUAUGUAAGGCGUUGAAUAAUCCUUAGUAAGUCGUAUGGUAAAACAUUAAAUUUCUUUUUUAUUACAAGUGCGUAUUGGAGAUCAAAAAAAUUUCGAAAAUUGAAUAGAUAAAAAGACGUAGGGGAUGUUUGGUACGCAAAAUUGAGUUGAUAAUAAUAACGAAAGAGUGGUCUUUCUUUUUUCUCCGCUCCUCCAAACCCAUUUUGGGGCCAAGCGCGCUCUAAUGAUGUAUUUAAAGAGAGAAAAAUAUAAAAGGGUAGACCAAAUUAUGUACAUGUACACAAGGGAAAGAAAAAGAGUAUUACUUAAGACGACAACAUUUAUGUUGAGAAAACCGAACCUGAUAGAAUCAUAUUACAAAAUUUCAACUCAACCUUUGCUUUUUAAAGCAAACUGAAUGUUCAAUAGGUAGAUGAAUCAAUAUUUUCAAGUACAUUAAAUGUUUGAAAUAUAUAUAUGCGCGUGUGUGUGUGUAUCACAAUACUUAAUAAAUAGAAAGUGAGAUUGACAUAGAACUCGUAAUGGUAAAGUAAAGCAAGACUGAUUAUUAUACUGUCACGCAAAUCGAAUACUAAUGGUCUCAUUACUUGACAGCAUCCUAAGUAUUGAAUCCCACAUUAGAGAAAAUACCAUAUCAUACAAAGAAAAAUACUCAAACCAUAGUGGUAAGGUAACAAACAAAUAAACUUCUUAACCAAAGCACUAUAUAUAUUAUAUCAUAUAUUCAUUCAUAUUAUAGAAUAGAGAAUAAUAUCAAACUCCAAUUAGCACAUCAUAGCUAUAGCUUCUGCUAAAACAAAUUUUCUUCACCAUUUCUCUCAUUUUUCUCAUAUUUGGGGAAGCCCUUUUUUCUCACUUGCUUCAUUCAAAAACCAAACCACAAGAAAAACCUGGCACCAUGGAGUCAACAACACCCAAACAUAAAAGUUACUUCUUCUGUAUAUUAUAUAACUUCCUACCAAACAAACUAAACUGAAGCAUGCAUUUAAACAAACGCCGUACCGCAAUUUAAACAAGGAAAAGCCCACACGUCAAGCUGAAAAAUACUGUUCUCAGAUUAACGGCAGGAGAGGAGUUCGUCGUAUAGUCCUGUGAGAUGAACAGACCAAAACGUAUAUAUAUAUAUAUAUCUAUGCUGCCUGUGACUGUCAGUCCAUAUUUAUUUAUAUCUUCUUUAAGCCAAACUAAGAAGAAGGAUCUAAUUCAUUUACCUAAUACUUAUUGGAACCUAUAGCAGCCCAAAGUGCUCCAGAAUAAAGCUAGAGAUCACGAAGGGCAUAGAAGAAGGCCUGCAAAAUAUAAAAUAUCAACUGUUAGAAACUGGAUAGAGAUGCAUAUAAACACAUAUAAAAGAAGUUUGGUUCAUUUUUUCAGUUCCAAACCUUUGAUUAUUGAAAUAGGCUCCGUCACAUACGCUUGCUUACUUCAUUGGCCAAAGUUCAUCUCUGAAUAUCUGAAACGAGAAAAGUAAAGGCAGAGUUUUACAUCAAACCCAAUCAAAAUCUACACCAUGAUAUCUACAAGUGAGCCAAGGAAAAUAAGUUUUUGAACCUUGUCUUCUACUCAGAAAAGAGUGAAUAGACAAUAUAUCCAAAAUUACCUGCGUGGCUUAUUUUGUCGUUGUCCAACAUCAUCACUUUCGAGUUCUGCAAAGGAGAAAGAUCAGUUGUGCCAUAACUAUGUUUUUGCCAUCUAAGAAAUAUACAAAAUCAAUCAUGUUCUAGUAAAAAUAAGACAAUUUUACCAUUUUGUGGAGGCUUUGACUCAUUACUGGAUUUGUUUGAGUUAUUUUCUUUGCUGCAGAGAGUAGAAAUAAAUCAAGAUCUAAUGAUCAAUGGAAAAACAUAUGUCGAAGUGGAUUCAUAAAAUAUAUCAAGAAAGAAGUACUAAGUAAUCCCUCUGGUAUAUAGAUACAUAUAUACAUAUAUAUAAAAGAGGCACCAUCUUUCUAAUCUAUCCCCAAAAUAAUUCUAAACAAAGAGCAUAUUGAUAGUAAAAACUCUACUAGCUUUCAUACAACAUAGUGAGAGUGCAAGUGUGACAAUCUCAAAUCUGUAUCUGAAUAAAGCACAGCUCAUGAAGUGUAUUGAGGCAAACAACAUGAUGCACUGACAAGACAACAGCAUCCAGAAUUAUCAAAACCAGUACAAUAUAUACUAACCUCAACAUUCCUGCAGAUGAUGUCUGUCCUGAGGGUCGAGCAUGAUAAGCCCCAUCCAUAGCUAUAUAAGGCGAACAAUAUGUAGCUCCCAAAGCCCCAGCUGCACCAGCCAAAACUGGUAACCUGAAGAAUAUAUAGCUCCUUAAAUGAGAACCACCAACAGGCGAUAGGGUGGUAAAAUGAAUUUUUAUCAGAAAAAGAGAAAAAAAAGGAAGAUUCAGAGGAAUUGCAUGGAAGAAUCAAAAUCGAGACAUUGAAUUGGAUCCUUUUUCUUAAGUUUUGUCAAUCUAAUCACAUAAAACCAAUUAGGCAAUUCCAUCCAGAGAUUCCAGACAAUAAAAAAAUGGAAGAAUCAAAAUCAAGACAGACAUCACAAAUCAUUAAAUACAAUGAAUGUAGAACAGCAUUUGCUUGGUGAAUUAAUACAUUUCAUCUCAAUGUUUUUUAUUGAACAAAAUGAACUUUGCUUUGCUUUGGGCUUGGGUCUUUUUAUAAUUUCAUAUAUAUGAAAUUUACCUUAUAGAAAAAAAGGAAAAGAAAAAAAUAACACACACGUAUAUAUACAUUCGUCUGUGUUAAAAAAACUUCAGUUCAUUGGUCACCAAAAUAUUGCAAGAUCAACAACAUCCACCAGAGCACAGCAUAUUUAUGGCAUGCAAUAUAACAUCCUCAUGAAAAUGACUACUACCAUGUCAUUUCUGAAUUUCCCAUGCCAAGUUGGGACUGAGCAACAUAUCCUGGAAAUGCCAUGCCAACAGCAGGAACUCCAAUGCCACCAGGAUGCUGACCUCCAAAUUGCAUAACUUCGCAAGUAUUCAACGAUAAAAGAUCAAUAGCAUAGACAAUAAAGAGAAAAAGAACUAAAAACAUUAUUUAAAAUAACAAAUUCUUCAUUGAUCAAUAAAACUAUAACAAACCAAAACAAAACACAUACUUCAUGAACUCAAUUGCACAUGGCACCAUAUCAAACUCAGGUAAUUUUAUUUUAAAUGAUAUAACAGGGAUCCACAAGAACCCAUGCAUUUUAUUAUUCUCCAUUUCCCAUAAAGAUAAAAAUUAGGUAUGCAAUGUAAAGCUUUACCUGGCAAAAAUGCUGGAGUAUGAGGAAAGUUCUGGUCUCCAUGAGUAAUAUUCAUGUUCCCAGAAGUUCCCAUCAUCUGAGCACCACCAUAAAUGAAAGAACCGGCACCAAUACCCUGGGCCACACCCUUCCCCUUUCCAACCAAAGCAGUUUUCAACUUACUUGAUUCUGAAGAGGAAUCACCCUCGCCAGAUUCAAGUGAGUUAACUGAAGUGGAAGUUUUUGGUGGAGAUGAAGACUGAGAUCCACUACCAGGUCGUUGACCCAACUGCUGGACAGGAACCUGAAUGGCAGAUUGAACCCUAGUUUGACCAGGAGUUCGUGCUACACCAUGUGAUUGAGCAGGUAAAGAGACCUUGUUAACUUGGCUAUGGAGUGAUGCAGGAGGGUAGCCAGUUGGUCCUACAGCAGCACCCCUUCCAUGAGGUCUAGAUUGGGGAAUUUGACCACUAUUGACCAUGGAAGAACCAGAAGAUGGCUUGGAUAAAGGAUUUCCUAGAGAUGGAUUGGUUGAAUCAUUUAUGUAAACCCUCUCCAUGGCAACAGUAUCAACUACAUGCUUUCCAUCUACCAUUACAGUUGAUUGUGGCAAAGAGCAAGUAUCAUCAUACAUAUUCUUUUCAGGAAGUCCAGCUUGUACUUCACUUUUUUCCACUUUAGGGAUGUUUUUACUAGACGUCCCUGAAGGGUAGAAAGGCGGAGAAGCAUAAUUCAGGCUUGAUGCAAAGGCAUGUUUCCUAACAGAGAUUUGCUCACCUUCGAUGUUUGGAGAGGGUGCAAGGGAUCUCCCUGUAUUAUUAUAAGAUGCUUUCUCAAUAGGCUUCACAGAUCUGAGGUCAUAUGCAAAAUGGACAUAUACUAAAUGAGUAAGCGCCCAUGAGCUGUAAAAAAAUUCUAACAAGUAAAAGCUAUUAAGAUUCAUUUAUAAGAAUUGAUUACUUACUGUUUUUCUUGUGAAGGAGAGGAUCUAGCAUUGUUGUUCAUAGUUGGUUCAUACCGUCUAGGUCCUCUUCCUCUCACAACUUUAGGAGCAGCAUUGCUUUGAAUGUUAUUUUUAUUGUAUGCUCGAGAUCUGUUCCCUCGAGCAUAACCAUGAUCCAUGCCUCUGCUUUUACCCCGACCUCGUGGGUGACCCUUGGAAGUUCUCCUCUAAUAUGGUGUAAAGAAAACAACACAUAUGAGAGAGAUAGAGAGAGACUCAUGUUUACAUUUAGUGCAAAUAACAAACAAAUCAUUACCUCAUCACGAUGCCUUUCUUGCAAAGUCAUUUCUUCAAACUUGUCAUGCCCCCAUUUCAUGUCAUCCUUGGACUCCCACAACCUCCUUCCACCAUGUGUUCUCCUACAGAUGUUUUAAAAACAAGAAGGUAAAGGGAAGUACAGUUUGACAGAAGUUGUAGCAAUAGAUAGGCUAAGAGCUUGAAGUAUGAAGGAGGUAUGCAAGUCCCCAUAGUAUUUCUUAGAAAAUUGGAAUCAGUAAAGUGCCUUUAUCUUCAAAAACCUGUUCCAGAGCAUAAUUUCAGACCCCCCAAUUCCUAAAAAAUAACUAAAUAGAAUUUUUAGAGGUGGAGUUCUUCAUUUAGAGGUCGACUUUAGGCUCUUAAAACACAAACCAUGGAGGGAUAAAACUUACCUAAUAUAUAGACUACGGAAAAGUGGACAAUUAAAGAAAAUCUCGUUCUGAUGGGUCAACCACGCAACUCCCAAGCAUAAAUUGCUCCCUAGGAAUGAUAACACUCAAUUCUAAAAAUUUACUUAAGAAUGCCUUCAAUUAUGUUUGUUCACAAUUUCAGCCAAAUCACAAUUUUUUGAAGGGAAAAAAGGUUUAAAACACGCGCAUAUAAGAGUGGCUUAACCUAUAAAAAGAAAAACUGAACUGGUUCUUCACUAAAUGAGAAAGAGAGUGAGAGCUAUACCUGUGUCGACCACCUGCAUUGUCUCUAAACCUAUCAUCAUGCAUAUAGAAAGCCCCGGCAGUGGGAACAGCGAAGGGCUCAUUCACCUUCUUCUCCUCAUCAAAUUCCCCCUCUAAAUUUUCCUCGUGCAAAUCAGUUUGUUCUUCAGGUAAUGGUCUUCCAUCAUCAUCCAACUCCUUCGCUACAUUGCCGGAGGCAGCAUCCAGUUCAACAUGAUCGCCCAACUUCCUCUCCUCAUUAUCAUCUUCCUCAACUUCCUCCCCCUCAUCAACAUCCUCAACUCCUUCACCAACCUCAUCUUCAUCUACAUCUACAUCUUCCCCCAAUUCAUCCUCAUCGUCGUACUCCGCAGCUCCACCUUGACCAUCCGAAUCAUCCGAAUGAAUCCCCAUCCUCCGUAUCGUCCUCCUCCCUUCUCCCCCUUCUCCUUCACCCUCCUCAUCAUCACUCGCCUCCCGCCUCCGCAUCGCCAGUGACCGCUUCGCUUCUUCCGGAUCACUCUCAUAAUCAACCUCUUCUUCAGUCGCAGUAGCCAUCAAUCAACUCCCAAAAAAAAAAAAAAAAAGAAAAAAAGAAGAAGAAGAAGAAGAAGAAAAAUAAAACAAAAAAUUAUAUCCGAACCCUCACCCUUCCGAUCAAACCAAAACACAAAUCUUCGUGCAGAAAUCAAUCAACAACAAAUCCAAAAUCCUCAAGCACCAGAAACCAGAUAGGA
rnacentral:lncRNA from 1 species